AAGGUCGUGCUGUUUUUUAAUAAUUUCAUUGCGAUAGCUUAUUCUUUUUUUGCUUUUUUUUUUCCCGGUACAAGUGCAUCGCUUUCUCCUCGUGAGAUUUGCUGUGAUGAAAUGGGAUGGAUUUGACUUUUUAGUCCGUAGACUUCACUUCUUUCCUUUUAUUUUUUUUUAUUUUUUAUAUAUAGUCAUGACUUUGUGUAGAAGUCGUGAGCGAAAUUUGAGUACGGCUAUUUCAAAUCUGAGUACCGGACAGUGCGGGCUUCACUGCGGUUGGGUUUACUCUAGGUCAUUGAAAAAGUUAAAAGGUUUCAAGCACUCAACAUGGAUGAUGGUUAUCUACCGUGCUCUUUGACCAUGAAUGAAAAACAUGAACUGCUUAAUCCUUCAAGUGGUCUCUCUUCGGUGGUUUCAUUAUUGUUGUAAAUAAGUUACCAAAACCCAGUUAGUGGAUAGUUUAGUAGUUGUUGCUUUGGGGGAUGACGGUCCAUAGUGAGUGGAGCUCAGCAUAUGCUCACGAAAGGCAUUGGACUUACCUAAUAUUUUACUUGUGAAAGUGUCUAAGCAAACGGCAUGUUUGCAUAUUUUAUACUCGACAGACUUAUCUGGUAGAUGCCUUAACAAUUAAAUCUUCAGUUUUCUUUUCUUCUAUUUUUCUAAUAGCACUUGGGGUCGAAUUUGCUUCAUUACUUGUAUUGAUUCACUUAUAAUCAUUUUUACUCUGUUAUAGUAACGUAUUAAAACGUGAAAUUCAGUCUCGAGUAAGUUUGUUUUCUUUAUUUGCCAGAACUCAUGUAAGUUUGUUCAAUAAGGGGAAUAUACUCUAGUUUUUUGUUGCUUUCUAAUAAAAAUGUUUCUUCUAAUUCAGUUAAUUUUCUUCACAGAGAUUCUUACCUUCAGAAUUUGGAAAUGAUGUGGAUCGUGUCCAUGCUGUGGAUCCAGCAAAAACUGCAUUUGCUAUCAAGGCCAAGAUUCGCCGCCUUGUUGAGGCCGAGGGAAUCCCUUAUACCUAUGUGUCUUCUAACUUUUUUGCAGGUUACUUCCUUCCAACAUUGUCGCAGCCUGGGGCUACAGCCCCCCCUAGAGAUAAAGUUGUUAUUUUAGGGGAUGGAAAUGUAAAAGGUAAGAAGCAAUUUCUUGAGAGAUGCACAUUUUAAUUUUUUUAGUUUUUUCUGUACAUUUUUCACAACUUAAUCACGGUAGUGAUCAGAGUGGGGCAGUUCUUGAAGCUUGCGAAUUCCAGGCAUCUUCUGUGUCUGGAGAUGUUGGCCUUUUACAUCCAUUAGUCUUCACUUUCAGAGACUAAUAGAUGACAUGGAAGUUAUUUGGUUUAUCUUGGCACAAUACCGCCUAGGCAGCAGAUCGUGAAGGUUAUCUUAAUGUAUUUGAUAGAAAAAAGAACGUAUGGAUGCAGUUGUGUGCGAGUUGUCUGGUGAUUCUGUUUACCGAGAAAAAUCUUCUUUGAAUGCGAGCUGAAAGUAACUCUAGGAAUAUUAAUGGCUUAUAUUUAUCAACUGAAUUCUAAAAUUCUCCCUGUCAAUAUACAGCGGUGUUUAACAAGGAGGAUGACAUCGGCACCUAUACUAUCAAAGCUGUGGAUGAUCCGAGGACCCUGAACAAAAUUCUGUACAUCAAACCUCCUGCUAACACCUACUCGUUUAAUGAUCUUGUGUCUUUGUGGGAGAGAAAGAUUGGCAAGACCCUGGAGAGGGUUUAUGUUCCAGAGGAGCAAGUUCUGAAGAAUAUUCAAGGUCAGGGAUGCGUUUCUAUUUGAUUUAAGCAUGUAGAAUUGUCUAUUUCUCUCUGAGAUUUAAGUAUUCUGAUGUUGAUCGGUCUACUUGUCUGGUGAUAUUGCAGAGGCGGCAGUUCCACUCAAUGUGAUAUUGGCCAUAUCUCAUUCUGUUUUUGUGAAAGGAGACCAAACCAACUUUGAGAUUGAGCCGUCAUUCGGAGUGGAAGCUUCAGAGCUCUAUCCUGACGUCAAAUACACGACCGUGGAUCAGUACCUUGAUCAGUUUGUCUGAUGGCCGAAACUGCCUGGGAUUGGUUGAUAUUUCACAGCAGUUUGAAUCAUGAAUAUUAUAGGAUUCUGCUUGUUAGGAUCCUUGUGUAAAAUGUCGCUCCCACUGAUCAUCUUAUGGCGUGUACAACCUUCAAAUAUGAGGACAUACUAUGAACAUUCGGUUUGUUUGCAUCUAUGCAGUGCUUGGAGAAGUUUCUUCUGUUUUGGAGUUGAUAUCGUUUUUUAUUUAUGGGAAAGCAAAAAGAAAGGCAUUGGGUUUCUCUGAUUUUGUGUAUUUUAUGUGGUGCGUCCUUGGUGUGGUAAUGAAUUGGAGCCUUUGACGAUGAGGUCCACCCUUGGCAAGGAUGUCGUGGCCUUCGCGCAGGCCUGGCGAUUGGCAGGGGAAGAACGGGGAAAAAAAGAAGGAAAAAAAAGAAGGCAGGAAGAAAUGCAAAGAAACAGAAGGAAAAAAAAUAAAAAAAUCAGAUUUUUUAUUUAAGUUGGUUUUUUUUUUUUUUAAUUUUUACGUUAGUAUUGGUUGUGUUGCAUUGUUGAUUGUAUUGUAAGGUAAAUUGUUAAAAGAUUUAGAAUCAAAUUAAUUAAAUUUAAAAGUUAAAUUUAAAAGUUGAGGAUUGAAUGAAUAUAGGUCGAUUGUUGUCGAGUCAUUCGACAUUUCAACUCUCGUGAUGUUUGCUUUUAUCAGUGGAGGUUGCGAAUUGUGAAUGUAGUAACCUUGGCCAAAAAAUUAAAGAGUUAAUAUUAAGAAAAAUUUUAAAUUAGUAUAUUCGUGAUAAGUUUAUUCUAAAUAAAUUUUUUGAUCAUAAAAAAUCUCGAACUAAUAUAUUUAUGAUAAAUUUAUUUUAAAUUGAUAAACUCGUGACAAUUGCUAAACUUUUCAACUGGUGUGAUGGAUAAAUUUACCCUCUAUUAACUUCCAUCAAAUUUUACCAUUAAAUUUGUCAAGAUAAAUGACACAUUGUGAUGUGUUAUGGUGACAUGGCAAGUCCACGUAAUAAUUCAUAGGAUUAAUAUCACGAAAAAUUCCAUAUUUAUUAUAGGUGUAUCGUUAAAUUUAUUACAAAAGUAACGUUAAAUUUAUCAUAAGUAUAUCAUUUUGAGUUUUUCAUGAUAUUUACCCUAUGGACAUGCCAUAUCAUCAUGUGUCAUCCAUGUUAGCAAAUUUAACAGUAAAAUUUGACAGAAGUUAAUGGAAAAUAAAUCUGUCGCAAGUUUAUCAGUUUUGAGUUUUUUGUUGUUAAAAUAUUAGUUUUGAGUAAAUUUGUCAGAAUCUAUCAAUUUGGGAUUUUUUGUGACAAAAAAAUAAUUUGAGAUAAAUUUAUUACAAGUGUACCAGUUUAAGUUUUUUGAUGGUAAAAAAAAUUAGUUUAAAAUAAAUUUGUAAUAAGUAUAUAGAAUUUGGGGUCUUUCAUAGUAAAAAUAGAAUCCCUAACACUUCACAAUUAUGAUUACUUAAAUUUAUAGCACCAUCAAAAUUAAAUUUUCUUGUUUUUUGCUAAGUUAAAUCUAUCUUACUUCACAAUAACUUAAUUGAUCACUGAAAUUGGACAAAAUUGUUAUCUUUUGUUUAUUUUCCCACUUUCCAUGUGCCCUUUCUCCGGUGAAGGAUUGUGUCAACAAGUAAGAUUAUUUCACUGAAAAGACGAUUAUGCCCCUUUCGGAAUCAAAAUCCAUUGACAAUCCAUCAUGAAGACAAGAACCCCCCCUCUCCACAGCAGAGUCGCUUCAGAGACCGAGCAAGUUCGCCGAGAAAAACCAUGCCUCCUGCUGGGAAAACUCUCCGAUGGCCGAUUAGAGCAAACUCCUGAUGAUUGGAGGCACUUAGGGUUUCAUAAUACCCUAGCUCAAUUUGAUUAUAGUCAAACUUUCAAUCAAAACUCGAGCUUGGAUUUUAUAAGCUCAAAUAUUAUAUCAUCAUAUAUAUUGUUAUAGUUAUCAAAUGCUUUUAAUAAUGAAAGCUCUAUAAGGUAUUGAGCUAAGUACUGAAAAGCGGAAACUCAACUCAAUAAGAUACUUGAGGGAUUUGAACUCGUGCUUGACUCAAAACUAAGCAAGUCGAACUCAAGCUACUCUUGAGUAACUCGACUUGGUUUUAGCCAUAUGCGCAAGUAGGGGUGUCAAAAAAGCCCACGUUGACCAGACCCUAGUUUUCUUUGGAUACAAAUUUUUAGAUGUUUGUAUCAUGAGGGUUGGGGUAGGGUUGGGCCGGGUUAGGCUUUUUUGACAUUCUAUGUAGGGUAGCUUUGAAUAAAUUUCUGAUUUUACACCUUCAAUGGAACCAUUUUACCCGUUCUCUUGUAUUAUAUGAUAUUCGAGUCUUAAGCGGGUUGGGUCAAGUCAAUCGCGUGCCCAUAGGGUUUUGGGUUGGGCCCAGUAUCAUGUAAACGCAGUCCCAUUCCCACCCCUUGACAUCCCUAAUGCGGGAGUGAAACCUUACUAGGACAUAGGCUCCAAUUUGAGCAACCUCUUUUGACCCAUCAUCUCAGCAUCAAGCCUUAGUUGACAAAAGCGAGUUGUAGGAUGUGUACGACAACCAUUCUAUUUCUGUUCCAAAUAAUUUUCUAUUUCAGAUUUGUUUAUGGAACAUAAAUCUGUUUGAUAACGCAAUUUUAUUUUUAUAUUUUUGAAAUAAAUUUUAAUCUAGAAAUAGGUUUGGAACAAAAAUGAGAAGUGGAAAUUCUUGUUAUUGCUUAUUCUCUCUACUAGUUAGUCACUUGCCCGUUGCUAUCGCCUGCCGUCCGCCACUGUUGUCCACCAUCCGUCGCCGGUUACCGUUGUUGUCGUCUGCCGCCUCCAAGGAAGGAGAAAUUUUGUAUCAAAAUUCUAUUCCGGGAACAGAAAUUUUACAUCAAUUAUUAAACAUGAAUUUUUCUCAGAAACUCAUCCAAAAAAAGAAAAAAAGAAAAAUCUAUUUCUUUUUUAAAAAUAAUUUCUAAUCAGAAUAAUUAUUAUUUGCGUCCGGUAGUUUUCAUCCAAUGCUGUCGAGACUUUACCACGCAUGCACCAUGGGCACUACGCACCUAACCCCGGUCAAAUUAUUCACUUUCGUUUGGUAGGACUCGUGCAAUGCUUCUGUUCUCCGCAUGCUUUUUAGUUUUUCCCUUCUUUUUGAAUCUUCUGGUCUACGGGAGUGCAUAUAUGUUGCUACUCCUGGGGUUCUGUCAAAAAAAAAAAAAAAAAGAAGAAGAAAGAAGCCACAAAAAAUAUACAAAUUAUGUCAACUGUGACAUAUAUAUAUAUAUUAAACUUUUUUUUUGUAACAUAAAAAUCCCCAAACUAUGAACUUUUUCUUGUUGUUUGACAUAUUUAUCCUCUGACAAGGUUUAUCAAAUGAUUUUCUAGCUAAAACAACGUCGGUUUAGCAUCAUGUUAAUAUCAUUUGCUUUCUGUCAUCCAUGUAAUCGAAUCUUGAUAAAGAGUAAAUGUAUCAUGUAAGUACAAGUUUUGGGUUUUUAGUGUCACACAAAAAUAUUUAGGGUAAAUGUGUAAGAGUGAGUAUAGUUUGAAAUUUUUGAAGGUCUUUUCCAAAAAAAAAAAAUGGUUAAUACCUUUAAAAGGUUAAUACCUUAAAAAACCUAAAACUGGUAUAUGUGUGACAAAUUUACCCUAAACUAUUUUUUUAACUAUGACAAAUCCCAAGUUGGUAUACCUAUGAUAAAUUUAUCUCAAAUUUGUAUACUUAUGACAAAUUUACCCUAAACUAAUUUAUAAUAUCGCCAAAAACCCCAAACUAGUACAUUUGUGAUAAAUAUAUCCUCAAUUAAAUUGAAUUAAUACCACAAAAAAUUGCAAAAUUUGUAUAACUGUGAUUAAUGGAGAGUAAAAUCCCAAAUUGAUACACCAACGAAUUGUCACAUGUCAUUCAACUUAAUAAUUUGACAGUAAAAUUUAACGGAAACUAAUGUAGGGUAAAUUGAUUAAAAGAAUACUAGUUGGGGUAAAUUUGUCAAAAAUGUACUAUUUUGAGGUUUUUGAUCGUCAAAAAAUUAGUUUGAGGUAUAUUUGUUAUAGGUGUACCGGUUUGGGAUUUUUCAGGGCAUUAAUCCAAAAAAAUGGCAUUGGUGUACUUGACUAAGACAUAUAACUACCUUUUGAAAAUUGUUUGUUUGUGAUAACAUGCUAAAAGGGGUUUUUCUUUAGCUUGUAAUACGUUUUAAUGUGCAUAUAACUAUGCCCGUGCUAUUUAAGGUUCUUAAUUCUUAUGUUCGUUGGCUAAUUCUUUUCACACCGGCCGUCAAGGCUUAAAUGGCCCAUUGAUGAUCGUUUUUACCAUUGCUCAUAUAGUUUCAUGUCGGCGUAAAUCUCUCAAUGUUAGUUGGAUGAACUUUUAGACGACCAUUUACUAAAUUAAGGAGAUGGAUAAAAGGAAAAUGUCAAAGAGUGCUCCUUAGGCACAUGUUAAGUCUUAUUAAAUUUGAUUUGAAAAUUUAAAGUUAAUUAUUUGAAGCAAGCGAUUUUAUUAAAAUAUAUGGACCUGAGCAGGUCCUUAAACUGCUCUACCCUGAAUAGGGCAUCCCAGGGUGCCCAGUUAGCCCCCAUUUACAGGGGGUUUAACUGGAAAUUACGGGAUAAAGUCCCCAUUGGGUAUCCUCGCCAACUCCCGACAAGGGAGGGGACCCACCAUUGGAUCCCCGUGAAGCCCUUCUCCUAACAUACUAGGUUGGGUUCAGGGAAAUGAAGAUGGCCCGGGCAGCCCCCAUUGAAGCAAGCGAUUUUAUUAAAAUAUCUAAUUGUAAUUGUAUUGAAAGGUGUUACUUUUAAAUUUCUUCAUAUUUACUUUUAUAAAGAUUAGCAGGAUUUACACCAAUUGGUCAAUGCUUUGAAAGGUCCCAACUUCAUUAAUGCUUCAAAGACUUUUGUAGAUACCUCCACCUUUCGAAAAUGAUGAAUCGGGACAUCUUCAUGAAUCUGGACAAUCUGAAGAUUUUUUUUAUUAAAUCAGAAACCGUUGCAAAAAGCCAAUUUACAUGGUUGUUGUUACAUAAAUUAAAGUGGAAAAGUAAAAUUGAAAUUACACAAGCUGCCCGUUCAACACUGACUAUCCAAUAUUUUCCCAUAUUUUUACAAAAGUUUCAUACUUUUCGUUCCUAUAAUUCACUAAUAUUUCUAAUGAUUUCCCCACGCUUUCAAUUAUUCUAAAAUUAUUUUUAAUUUUCAAAAAAUAUCUAAUCAAGUUUUUUCAACAUUAAAUUCGAUUGACGUGAUUGUUUAAGGCUGCCAGAAUGUGAUGUUGAUCAAAUAUUGCUUACUUAUAAAAAUAAUUAAUUGACUAGAAAAGUAUGGGGAUCUAAGCUUUGGAUAGAGUUUUCAACAACCAGUAGGCAAUAUGAUCCACAACACAUUUUGGCAUCAUUCGACAGACAUGUUAAUUGGACUUGGCCGAAUUUGAUGAUGGAGAGAUCGACUAGGCAUGUUACAUGAGUAGAAUCACUUGAUUAUAAAAAUUAAAAUUAUAGAUACUUGAUUAAGAAAAUGGUGAAGGUACAGAGAUUAAUAUAACUUCGAAUACUUUACAUGUCCUAAAAAAUCUCGUCAUAAUUGAAACCCGAGGUUUCGCUUUGCAGAUUUUUUUUUUUUUGGCGAGCAAGGAUGAAAUUUCCAUAGUGAAUUGGUUAAGGAUAAACUUAGAAAUAACGAGAUUAAGGAUAAAUUUAGAAAUAACGAGAUUAAACAAAAAUUUAUGGAUACUUGGGAUUUAUCGAAUUGAUGUUAAUGUUUCAAGGAAUCUUGUAGGCGUGGAACUGACAAGAAGAAGAAAAGGCAAAUGCAUGAUGAAGAACCUGGACAAUUUCUCGAACCAAGUUCCUAUCUCUAAAGCCCGACCAUUCGUUGAUAGUGGGCGUGCGUCAUUUUCUUGAUCAUGGCACUUCCAAAUAUCUCGCUUACUUUACAAAUUAAGUAAUGGUCCAAUCUUAAAAUCCUUUACAUUUAAUGAUAAACAGAUUAUUGGGUUAUGUGCUUGAUUCACUUAAAUCAUGCUCGCUCUUCAAUCCUUCAAUGAAUCUAACAAGGUUGCUCUCCUUUUUUUUUUUUUUUUUGUUGUUGUUGUUGUUGAGGAUUUGUGAACUAAUUGUAUAGCUCAUUGUCCCUUCAGACUAUUAUCACUUCCUUCUUUCGAUACCAUAAAGUAAAUCUAAAAUGUGAUCACUUCUUCCUUACUAGACAAUUGAAAAACCAAUGUUAAAUGUAAUGGCUUGAUACGCUGGACUUGAGCAUGUCCUUAAACUGCUUCUGUUAUCGGAGUUAACCCCAACGGUAAAAUGAGAUAAUGAUAACUGGAGGAGACCGGACCAAACCUUAAACGGUUCUCCCCGCCUUGAUUCCCGUGAAGCCCUUCUCCUUGCGUACUAGGCUGAGUUCAGGAAAAUGAUAGGCAGCUGGUCUGAUAGUGGGCGUGCGUCAUUUUCUUGAUCAUGGAACUUCCAAAUAUCUCGCUUACUUUACAAAUUAAGUAACGGUCCAAUCUUAAAAUCCUUUACAUUUAAUGAUAAACAGAUUAUUGGGUUAUGUGCCUGAUUCACUUAAAUCAUGCUCGCUCUUCAAUCCUUCAAUGAAUCUAACAAGGUUGCUCUCUUUUGUUGUUGUUGUUGUUGUUGUUGUUAAGGAUUUGUGAACUAAUUGUAUAGCUCAUUGUCCCUUUAGACCAUUAUCACUUCCUUCUUUCGAUACUAUAAAGUAAAUCUAAAAUGUGAUCACUUCUUCCUUACUAGACAAUUGAAAAACCAAUGUUAAACGUAAUGGUUUGAUACGCAAUUGAAAAAAUAAAAUCAUAAUAUGAAUUAAAUUCGAGUAUUUCACACUUCAAAAUUACAUGAUUGCUUAAAUCUUCAGCACCAUUAAAUUUUCUUAUUUUGGCUUAUUUCACACGUAUUUGAUUUUCUUCUGUUUAAUUUUUUCACUUUUUUUUUCUGGCGAAUUGUUUAUUUUCAAACUUUUUUUUUUCUAUCGAAGUUUAUUUAUUUGCAAACUUUACAUGUACCUUUUUCGUUGAAAGCGGUAAAAAAUCAUUUCAAUGAAAAGACUAUUAUGCCCUUCGAGAGUCGACGCUAAUCCCCCCCCCCCCUCUCUCUCUCUCUCUCUCUCUCUCUCCAGUCACAGCAGAGUCGCUUUUAGAAGCCGAUCAAGUUCGCCGGAAAACACCGCGCCUCCGCCGUGAAAACCACUCAGAGAUGGCCGCGAAGAGCAAGGUCCUGGUGAUCUGAGGCACUGGAUACGUCGGAAAGUUCAUCGUAGAAGCCAGUGCUAAGUCCGGUUGCCCUACCUUUGCUCUCGUGAGGGAGUCCACUCUCUCCAACCCUGCUAAGGCCAAGAUCGUCGAAGGUUUCAAGAGCCUCGGCGUCAAUUUAGUUCACGUGCGUAGUUCUUCCCGUGCGAUCGUGUUCGCUUCGCAUGUUUGGUUCUGCUUUGAGAAAAUCAAAGCGGCGCCUGCCGUUAUGUCUCGUUCCGCAUUUCCGAGAAAUGUUUUUACCACUAGAAUUGGAGUCGAUUUUUCAUCUCAUUAUGGAUGAAUGGUGUACCAUCUAGAUGAAUUCAUACAUAUUCGUACGUGUUACUCGGAGAUCGACAUCUUUACACAAACAAAAAGGUUCUUUGACCCCAAACUCGUGCUCUCCCCAAUCUCGGUCCUUGUAUGGAUAUUGGGCUGCUUACAAACUCCAGGAGGCUUUAUUUAUUCAGAACCUGUGUGGUUGGAUUUCUUCUAGGUCACCGAAAAGAACAAAGAGUUUCUAGCACUCAAUAUGGAUCAUGGUCAUCUACCCAGCUCUUGGAUCAUGAAUGCAAAUCAUGAACUACUUAAUCCUUCAAAUGUUCUUUUUUCGGUGAUAUUAUUAUUGUUGUAAAUAAGUUACCAAAACACAGUUAGUGGAUAGUUUAGUCGUUGUUGCUUUGGGGGUUGAUGGUUUAUAAUGAGUAGAGCUCAGCAUGCUCACAAAAGCCAAUCAACUUACCUGAUAUUUUUUUACUUGUGAAAGUGUCCAAGCAAGCAGCAUGUUUGCAUUUUUAUACUGGACAGAGUUAUCUGGCAAAUGCCUUAAUAAUUACAUCUUCAGUUUUCUUUUCUUGUAUUUUUCUAAUACCUCUGGGAUCGAAUUUGCUUUGUUGCUUGUAUUGAUUCACUUGUAAUCAUUUUUUACUUUGUUAUAGUAACACAUUAAAAUGUGAAAUUCAGUCUUGUUUUCUUUAUUUGCCAGAACUCAUGUAAGUUUGUUCGAUAAGGGGAAUAUGCUCUAGUUUUUGUUGCUUUCUAAUAAAAAUGUUUCUUCUAAUUCAACUAAUUUUCUCCUCAGAGAUUCUUGCCUUCAGAGUUUGGAAACGACGUAGAUUGUGUCCAUGCGGUGGAGCCAGCAAAAAGUGCAUUUGCUAUCAAGGCCAAGAUUCACCGCCUUGUUGAGGCCGAGGGAAUCCCUUAUACCUAUGUGUCUUCUAACUUUUUUGUAGGUUACUUCCUCCCAACAUUGUCAUAGCCUGGGGCUACAGCUCCCCCUAGAGAUAAAGUUGUUAUCUUAGGGGAUGGAAAUGUAACAGGUAAGAAGCAACUUGAGAUUCGCAUUUUAAUUCAUUGAGAUUUUUUUGGAAAUUUUUCACAACUUAAUUAUUGUAGUAAUCAGAGUGGGGCACUUCUUGAAGCUUGAGAAUUCCAAGCAUCUUCUGUAUUUGGAGAUGUUGGCCAUUAGUCUUCUCUUUCAGAUAUUAAUAGAUGAUAUGAAAAUUCUGUGGUUUUUCUUGGCACAAUACUGCCUAGGCGGCAGAUCAUGAAGGUUAUUUUAAUGUAGUUGGGAGAGGAAAGAACAUAUGGAUGCAGCUCUCUGGUGAUUCUGUUUACUGAGAAAGUUCUUUGAAUGUGAGCUGAACGUAACUCUAGGAAUAUCAAUGGCUUAUAGUUAUUAACCAAAUUCUAAAAUUCUCCCUGUCAAUACACAUCGGUGUUUAACAAGGAGGAUGACAUUUGCACAUAUACCAUCAAAGCCGUGGAUGAUCUGAGGACCCUGAACAAAAUUCUAUACAUCAGACCUCCUGCCAACACCUACUCGUUUAAUGAUCUUGUGUCUUUGUGGGAGAGAAAGAUCAACAAGACCCUGGAGAGGGUUUAUGUUCUAGAGGAGCAAGUUCUGAAGAACAUUCAAGGUCAGGGAUGCGUUUUCAUUAGAUUUAAGCACGUGUAUUGUGACAUCCUGAUUUUUAGGAUUUUGUUUUCAAUUUAAUAAGUUGGGCUUUUCUUUGAGCUGAUCACUCACGAGAUAACUAGACUAUCUGAUGAAGCUGUUAAGGGAUUUUAUGCAAUAGACUUGAGAAUUUGACUAAAAAUUGACUGUUCGACCGUGCUAAUCUGCAAGGGUCACUAUGACACCGUCAAAAUUGAUCAGAGAUCGGAGAUAGGUUGAUUUGAUAGAGGUAUGUGAUUAGUGUGUGAGUGAUUUCGCCUGAUUACAAAGUUUCUGUCAAACGACACUAGACCGAUUUUUCUGUCAUUUUUGUAUCCUGUGCCCGUAUUUGAAAUCUCGAAAUUUUCACGACAACCGAGAGUUGUCAAUGUGUCGAAGAUGCACAAUGUGGCUCGAAAAUAAUCGACCACGGGUCCUAAAAGCUACCUAAUAGGCUAGGUCACGCUAAAAUCGCGCUAGAUUGAAAUUAACUGCGAAUUUAAACUUGAUUUCAAAAAUUGAAAGUUCUGUUAUGUCACAAUUCAUUUAAGGAAUGUCAACUUAUUCUUCGAAGAUUUUUCUACAAACCGAUAUUCUUGGCGAAAAUUCAAAGUAGGACCGUUCUUGACCAGGAAAAUCAGAGGACCGUUUUUGGUCGUGUUUUUGGGAUUCAAGUUGGAUAAAUUGAUGAGGGAAAAUGUGAAUUCAAGUGUGGGCAUCUUGGUUGAAUUUAUGGGCAUCAAAUUAGGUUCAAUUAAGGGAGAAUUGGAGGGGAAUUGAAUCAAUUUGAGUGGCCAAUGUACAAAAUUCGUAGGCCAUGGGGGACUCAACCUUUUGGACUAUUUGGGAAGUGUGUUGAGGAAGAUUGAGGGCUGCAAAUUGGCCAUGGAUGAUUGCCCAAGUGGUGGGGGCAUGCAAUGAUCAACUAAGGGGAUAUUUAGGCAUUUUGGGACCCUCCAAGGUGCAACUGGCUUCGUCUUCUUCAAGUGAGCUACUUAACGAUUGUUGAGAGUCUGGGAAGCUUAGAGAAACAAGAGAAACCGGCCAGCAGCUCCCCCUUCACCGUCGACUACCGCCGGAGCCGCUAGGACCACCGCUCACCGCUCGCAAGCCCAUCGUGCCACCCGCGAGCCCGCGUGCGUUGUCCCGCCUAUCUCGCCUCCUGUUGUGCCCAGUCACGUCCCAAGUUGCCUCAGGCCACCGUCGCAGCUUGCCAGGUCACCAUCCAGGCCGUCGGAUCAAUCGCCAUCGCCGGUCAUUGCUCGCAGCAGCCCCGUCCACCUGUCCUUGCCGUUUCCAGGCCAGCCAGCCGCUCAAGUAGCCUCUCGAGCCUAGGAGCAGAAGCCGAAGCUAGCAAGGGUCUUUGGGCUUCGUGGCCUGUUUUUAGGUCCAUUUAGUCUCCGGGCUUUGUGGACUUUUUAGGCCCGUUUGGUCUCCAUUUGGUGUUGCCAUAGGCUCGGUUAUUGCCCAACUCUUCAUUGCCAUCGUUGUGGACUUACUGGAUCGCUAAACCGGUGAGUUUACUUGCUAAAAUAUGUUUAGGGAGUUAAUGACGCUUAGUGGAUAAUUAGUUUAGGCUAAUUAGGGUUUAUGUGGCUAGUUAAAAUAGAUUAGUGAUUUAAUUAUCCGUUUGUGCAUGUUAGGUGGUUAGAACGGAUAGAUUAGGGACUAAAGUAGUCGUACUAUUUAUCUAGAUAGGUUCAGAAAAUUUCUAGGCCCGUUUAGGUGGUUAGAUUAGCGUGGCCUAAGUUGCUAUUUAUUGCAUUAAAAUUGAAUUAUUUAGUUAAAUUUGGUAUUUAUUUAAUUAUUUAAUAUUUUCCAAAAAAUAUAUCGGGAUAGCCGGUGACUGGAAUUUCGUGCUGAUUGCAAUUGUGUGCUUGGUUUACUUAAUUGAGUGUUAAUUUGUGCAAAUUGAGUGGUGAUUGAAAUUUUGGUUAUUUAUUCCAAAAUUGUGAAAUUUGAAUAUUUAAUUAGAAAAUCCCAAGUGUCGGGUUUUGAUAUCGAAAAUAGUUUUAAAGAAUAUAUCAAACCGUGGGAUUUUAAAAGGAAGAGCAUUAGUUUUUCUGGUUCAAAUUGACCGUGUACCCACACACAAUUAUUUUAUCGUGUAUUUUUUAUACGAAGAAAAUAGACCAUGUUUACUAUUUUAAUUGAGGCAUUUGAGUACAAUGCAUGGUGUUUUGGGCCGAUGUUGAAUGGUCGUGCGUUGGUUAAGAGAACCAGUCCCCAAAAUGAGUCGGGUGAACGUGCCUUGUGAAAUCCUAGAAUUUCGAUUAUGCUUUCAAUUGAAUAAAUCGGGCAUUUCAUCGACGCGCCUAUAGUGCUAUUCUCAGAACUAAUCACUCGUGAGAUAACUAGACUAUAUAGGGAAGUCAUUCAGAGAUUUUAAGGCAGAUAGAUUUGAGAGUUCGACUAGGAAUCGGCUGCUCAGUCAUGCUCAUUUGUAGAGAUCAUUACGGCAUAGUUACAAAUCACUUAGAGAUCAGAGCUAAGAUGUGUGGCUAAAAGUGGGUGAUUCCAAUAAAUUGCAAAAUUCUCGUCGAUCGGCACUAGAUUGAUUUUUCUAUCAUUUUGGUACUGUGUGUCUGUAUUUGAAUCUUCGAGAUUUUCACGACAACCUAGAGUUGCCAAUGUGUUGAGUGGGUUCAUUGUGGCUUGAAGAAAAUCAACCACGGGUCAUUUGCACUAAAAAGUUCUGAAAGCUACUCAGUAGCUUAGGUCACGCUUAAAUUGCGCUGGAUUGAAAUUGACCGCGAAUUUGAAUUUGAUUUCAAAAAUUGAAAGUUUUAUCAUGUCACAGGUCAUUUUAAGAACGUCGACUCAAUUUCCGAAAAUUUUUCUGCAAACCGAGAUUUUUUGGGAAAAAGUCGCCGUAAGGCUGUUUUUGUCCAGAAAAUGUCAGGGACCAUUUUUGAUCGUGCAAUUGGAAUGCAAGUGAGUUGUAUUGGUGAGGAAAGAUACAAAUUUGAUUGGGGACUUAACAAAGAAAUUUUUAGAAGCCAAAUUAGAUUGAAUUAAGAGGCAAUUGGUGUCCAAUUGUUGGGAAAACACAUGAAAUUUGUAGUCCCCCCACCACCCAUGACUUAUGGACCAAUUCAAGCUUCUAGAAUGGAGCUUUGGUGGCUAAUUUUUAGCUAAGGGGUGCAGCUGGUGGAAGGGAAUGGUCAAGGGGACCAAUUUGAUAAGGUUGAAGGCUUGAUAGGCCCCUUGUCCCCUCAUCUCUCCCUCUCCCUCUCCCUCACUUGUCAUCGACAGCCUCUUCCUCCCCCUUCAUUGUGCUUUGAGGACUUCCAAAUCUGCAGAGAAGUCCUCGCCACUGUAGAAGCCACCACCCAUCGUUGUUCGCCGCCCCGCCUUGCGCGCGCCACCACACCUUGCUUGCGCGACCCCGACUCCCUAGCUGUCUUCAUUCGCCUUGUUCGUGCGUCUAGCAAGCCCUUCAGCCAGCACGGGCCACCGUCCAGCUCACCUCAGUUGUCGUGAGGCCCCGCCGUUUGCCGCUGAGCACCUUUGCUGCCUUUGUUGCCCUUGCUCGCCCCAACCAGCCCAUUUUUUCCUCUCUUUAAGCCCAAAAUAAUAGCUGAAGAAGUGGGUUUCCAGCAGCAUCUUUGGUCCGUUUUGGAGGUGUUCUGAACCUUGGUUGCCAAGCCCGCUUUGGAGAUAGUUGAGCCCUGCCGCGUCCCCGUUGUUUCGAACUGAACGGUUCGUUAAUCAAGUGAGUUUAACUCACUAAUUACUGCUUAGUAAGUUAAUUAUGCUUAGGGGUUGAUUAGUUUAGACUAAACUAGGAUUAUGUGGUUAGUUAGAUUUGAUUAGUGAAUUUAAUUAAUUGCUGAUGCAUGUUAGGUGGAUAGUUAGUGCAAUUAGAGCCUAGACAAGCUCUAGUAUUAAACUAGAGUGGUUCGGAAAUUUUCCGGGCUUGUCUCGGCUUCCAAUUAGGCUUUACCGGGCCUAAGUUGCAUUUAUUGCAUUUAUUUAUUAAUUUGUGUAAUUAAUUAAUUAUUUCCAGAAAUUAGAUCGGGAUAGUUGGUGACCAGAAUUUUAUGUCGAUUGCAGUGGUGCAUUCCGUUUAAUUAAUUGAUUAUUAUUUUGUGCAAAUUGGCUGUGUUUUGUGAAAUUAGUUAUAUAUCCCAAUUUUUAUUAAUUUUAAUAAUUAAUUGAAUAUUUAUCGGGAGUGGGUCUACAGCGCCAAAAACAUAUUUCUAGACUGCUGAAACCAGUAGGAAGUUCAAUUUUGAAAUUAUUGCAUUUUGGCUAAAGCCGACUGUGUACCCACAUACCGCUAUUUUUAUCAGGUAUGAUAAAAAUGAUAAAUUGAUUCAAUGAUCAAAGUUAUAUAUUUUAGUAUCAGCUUCGGGUGAGCUAUAUAUGUGUAAUUUAUUAUUAUCAGCUUUGGGUGAGCUAUAUAUGUGAUCGAUUCUUAUUAGCUUUGGGCGAGCUAUAUAUAUUUAUCAGCUUUGGGCGAGCGAAAUAAAUUAUUAGUUUUUGGCAAGCUAUACUAUAUGUAUUUUCAACUUUGGGUGAGCGGUCAUGAUUUGAUAGGACAUUAUAGAUAGUAUUAAUUGAGUUGACCGAGGAGUGGUCAUGAUGACAUGUAAUCGACUAAGUCGAUUGAUCGAUGGUUCGAUCUGAUUUGAUUGGGUGAUGUGGUUGUCAGUAAUUAAUUGAACUGACUUGCUGGAAGAAGUGGAGGCCAAGGUAAGUCCUCUAAUGCUUGAUUGUGCUUAGCAUCCCUUAGGGUGUAUUUUCUUCCUAAUCAGGUCUUAGGGGGUUCAACUUGCUGAGACGUCGUCUCACCCUGUUGUGGGAUAACAAUUUUAGGCCCAUAUAUGGCAGCCCCGCCUGAACAUUUUGGACAAUCAAAGAAAUUCACAGAACAUAGUUACCACAUUUCGAUACAUGGGCACCCCAAAGGACUAGAAUAUGUGUCGAUGAAAUCCAUAGUCUGGGUUGAUGCGAGUUUACCCAAAAAUGUGUCCCAUCAAUACCAGUCAUGGUAUCGCCAUUAUCAUAAUGGCCAAAGGGAGGGCCCUAUACCAGAAUGUGAGAUACCUCUGUAUGUGAUGGAGGUUGCUUUUGGAAAUGGUACGUUAGACCCUAAGGACGGAUCGGUGGUGGACCCGAAGGAUCCUAAGCUUGAUGAUCCAAAUUCUCCGGUGUAUUCGGCAAAAGGCUCUAAUGAGGAUGAGGCUGUGGAGCAAGAGGAGUUUGAGGAGGACGAGUAGCCGUAGUUUGAGAAAACCCCACCUAUGUUUGCAGACUUUGUUUUUUGACUGGUUUGUGUGUAGGACCUGACUUGGGUAGUUUGGAUUGUAAUAUAUGCAUUAUGGCAUGCAAUGUAUAUAAGUGUGGUUAUGGUUUUAAAAAUUCGCGGUCCUACUUUCUUAUCCCAUUGUUUUAUUAUUUGGGGAUUAUAUAACUGCUUUCGCAUGCGUAUAUUAAAAUGAAUAGGUCGACGAUGCAUCCUGGGAUAUCGCUAAUAUAUUGACCAAGCAGGGAUGGGCAUGGGCUUGGAGGAUCAGGACGUGACAUCCCUAUUUAUUGGUAUCAAAGCGUGGUUGUUAGAAAUUGGAGUGAUAAGGUGCGAUGGUUCAUGGGAUAGUAAGUAGGAAAUGCCUUUAAAUUCAUGCUGGUGCAUGUUUGUGAUAGUUGUUUGGUAGAAUUGCUUGUUACGUGGAUCGCUCAACUUCUAAUCUAGUGUGGAUUUGGAAGACAGGUUUCAGUAGAAAACUGAGCCAUGAGCGAUCAUGAGUAGAGGACUCCUAGUAAGAGAAUCGUGAGGCCUGUAUCUCGGGGUAGGACGUCGAUGAUGAUCGAUGCUCGAGGAGGCCGUGGUAAAACGCCAAUUGAGGCUAGCGCGAGUGGCGUAACACCACGUCCUGUUGGUGCUGGGGUAGCAACCUCAGGUGAUUAGGGAACCAUUGGGAUCACCCAAGCUUUGGACGCCAUGAGAGAACUGAUGGGGCAACAUGCCUGGGAUCAAGUUGCCACCUUCAUUGCCGCUGUUGUAGCCGCCGCUACUGUUGCUGUUGUCGUCGCUUCUAAGGCCGCAGUCGUUGCCGCACCUGUCGCCGCACUUGUCGUCGCUCAUGCUGAGAUUCUGCCAAAGAAUGUGGCUGCAAAGAGACCGAUCCACAAGCUAGUGGAAUAGUUCUUAAAGCUAAACCUGCCUAGGUUCACGUGUUCUAGAGAUCCAGAGACUGUCUCUCUUUGGAUUCAGGAUAUGGAUAGGGCAUUUGCACUUUUGAGGUGUAACGAAGAAGAGAAAUUGGUAUUGGCGGUGUACCAACUACAAGGUAACACCAACAUUUGGUGGAGAGCUGCCAAAGAGUCAGUGUUUUCGGAAGGUGUGGUCCCGGUGUGGGACGCCUUCCUCAGAGCAUUUAAUGAUCAGUACUUUUCGGGUAGCCCGAGAACAAAAGAUGGAGGAGUUUCAGCAUCUUCACCAAGGUAAUAUGAUUGUUGACCAAUAUGGGGUCAAAUUCGCUGAACUUUCUUAGUACGCGCCAAGAUUGAUCGAAGACUCUAAAGACAAGGCUCGAAGGUUCAAGAAUGGCCUUCGGAAUGAAUUGAAACAACCAUUGAUGCUGUUCGAUUUGAAGGAUUACCGAGAGAUCUAUAAUCAAGCCUAGCUGCUGGAGAGGAGUUUGAACGAACAAGCCGCCUCGUUUGGAUUGAGGUUUAAUUCAAACAGAGAUGCGAUUCGUCAUGGAAAGAAACCCAUGACUGGAGGUAGAUUUUAGAUCCCACCCAACAUAAAAUGUGGUGUUGGCUAGCUAGGGCCAAAUCAAAAUGGGUUGUGUCGCUUUUGUGGAAGGCGACAUGGUACAGCUCUAUGCCCUUGAAGGCCAUGUGUUUGUUUUGGAUGUGGCUAAUAGGGCCACAUGGUUAGGGAUUGUCCUAGUAGACCAAGAGGACAACCACAGCUACUGCCGCCACCACCGUUAGGACAGAUUAGAGGGUAUGCGCCUCAGAAUGUACCGCAAGGAGGACAGCUCAGACCUCCAGUUCAAGGCAUGGUGUUUGUUAUCACUCAAGGUCAGGCAGAGGCAGAGGCUGUACCUGACGUGAUUACAAAUAUGGUUUCGCUAAACAACCAUUCUACUUAUGCUUUAUUUGACCCAGGAGCAACUCAUUCCUUUAUUGUCAAGUAGUAUAUUAAGUUGAUAGGAUUAAGUCCUGAAUUGCUGGAGUAUGUUGUUAGCAUAUCUACACCAUUGCAAGGUGCAGAUGCAGGAAUUAUUGGAUAAGGGAUUUAUACGUCCUAAUGCAUCACUUUGGGGAGUGCUAGUUCUAUUUGUCAAGAAAAAUGAUGGUUUGUUGCGCUUGUGCAUCGACUAUCGACAACUCAAUCAGGUGAUGAUCAAGAACAAGUGUCCAUUGCCGAGGAUCGACGACUUGUUUGAUCAGUUACAAGGAGCGUCGAUAUUUUCGAAAAUUGACUUGAGGAUAUGAUAUCAUCAGCUGAGGAUCAGGAAAGAAGACAUUCCAAAGUCAGCAUUCGUACUCGGUAUGGUCAUUAUGAGUUCACUGUGAUGCCAUUCGGGUUGAUGAAUGCUCCAACUGCUUUUAUGGAUUUGAUGAACCAAUUGUUUAAGGAAUAUCUAGAUCAGUUUGUGAUCGUGUUCAUUGAUAAUAUUCUAGUGUAUUUGAGAAGUGCUGAGGAGCAUGAGAAUCAUUUGAGAUUAGUGCUCCAGACCUUAAGGAUUCAUCAGUUGUAUGCUAAGUUUAGUAAAUGCGAGUUUUGGUUGACUCGUGUUGUGUUCUUAGGUAACGUGAUUUCAUGAGAAGAAAUCUCCGUGAACCGGUCCAAGAUUGAAGCAAUGAUUAACUAGCCGAGAGACUGACUACCGUAACAGAGAUCCGAAGUUUUUUUGGGUUUGGCAGGUUAUUAUAAACAAUUCGUAGAGGAAUUUUCAGCUUUAGCAUCGCCAUUGACAAGACUUCAGAAGAAAGACGAGAAAUUUGUGUGGACAGACAAGUACGGGUGUAGUUUCCAAGAGUUGAAGCAAAAGCUAACUACCGCACUUUUGCUGACGAUUCCAUCUGGUCCUAAAGGGUACAAGAUCUAUAGUGAUGCGUCGUUCAGACGACUGGGUUGCAUGUCGAUGCAAUAUGGUAAGGUUGUUGCAUACGACUCUUGCUAGUUGAGACCUCAUGAACUGAACUACUCGACGCAUGACUUGGAACUCGCAGCAAUCAUAUUUGCGUUGAAGAUUUGGAGACAUUACUUGUAUAGGGAAAGAUUUUAGAUCUUCACGGACCAUUAAAGUCUCAAGUACGUGUUCUCUCAAAAGGAGUUGAAUAUGAGACUGCGCUGAUGGAUGGAACUUUUGAAAGAUUACGAUUGUGAUAUUCUAUAUCACCCAGGAAAAGCAAAUAAGGCCGCUGACGCUUUAAGCCGAAAGUCUUCAAUUGCUGAUUUAUUGGUUAAGGAGUGGAAUCUAAUUGAGAGAGCUCGAGAUUCGGUUUUCAAAUUUAAGGUAAGCCACCUUUCUCAUCUUAUGGCCACCCUCAGAAUUGAGCCAGAUGUGUAGAUCAGGAUUAAGCUACUUCAGCCAACAGACCCGGAUGUUCAGAAAAUUUUGCAAGAGGAUAUCGAAGAAAGGAAGGCUAACUUUAAGGUUUCUGAUAAUGGAACACUAAAGUUCUGAGAACGAUUAGUUGUACUUGAUGAUUUGAAGCUUAGAGAUGAUAUUUUAUUAGAAGCUCAUUGUAGUAAUUACAGCUACCAAGAUGUAUCAAAAUAUGCGUCAACACUAUUGGUGGUCUAAUAUGAAGGCGGACAUCGCAAAACAUGUCGCCAAGUGUUUGAUGUGUUUGCAGGUCAAAGCUCAGCAUUGUAAGCUGGGAGGACUUCUGCAACCUCUCGAAAUUCCAAAGUGGAAGUGGGAGUAUAUCAUGAUGGACUUUGUAACCGGAUUACCAAGGAGUCAUAGAGGUAAUGAUUCUAUUUGGGUAGUAGUCGAUAGGUUGACAAAGUCGGCUUACUUUAUUGCAAUGUGAAAAGAUCUUGACUUGGAUAGGCACGCUGAGUUGUACGUGCGCCAUAUAGUUUGACUACAUGGAGUGACACUUACGAUAACUUCAGAUCGAGACCCGAGAUUCACCGCUGCUUUUUGGAAGAGCUUGCAAAGUACUUUAGGUACAAAACUUCAGUACAGUACGGCAUAUCAUCCUCAAACGGAUGGCCAGUCCGAGAGGACAAUUUGGACCCUCGAAGACAUGUUGCGAGCUUGUGUGCAAGAUUUUAAAGGAAGUUGGGAAGAGCAGCUUCAUCUCGUGGAAUUUGCCUACAACAACAGUUAUUAGUAGAGCAUCCAGAUGGCUCCUUUGAAGCAUUGUAUGGCAGAGUGUGCGGAACACCAGUGUGUUGGGAUGAAGUUGGGGAGAGAAAGAUCACAUGCCCAGAGUUGGUUCAAUAGUCAGUGGAUGCCGUCGCAAUAAUCAUGAGCAUAUUAAAGACUGCUCAGAGUCACCAGAAAAGCUACGCAGAUAAGCGUCGAAGGCUUUUGAAAUUCCAAGUUGGUGAUCACCUUUUUUUGAAGGUGUCACCAAUGAGGGGAACUUCGCGCUUUGGCAAGAAAAGAAAACUGAGCUCAAGGUAUGUAGGUCCAUUUGAGAUUCUUGAGAGAAUCGGGACCCUGGCGUAUCGUCUUGCGUUGCCACCGAGAUUGGGGCAAGUGCACGACGUCUUUCACGUGUCGAUAUUGAGGAAGUACGAGCUUGACUCGACGCAUGUGCUUAAUUUUGAGGAAUUAGACGUGGAUGACCGAGUGUAAUACGUUGAAAGAUCAAUUCAGAUCGUGGACAGAAAAGAGCAAGUUCUACGUUCAAAGACCAUCCCGAUGGUCAACACCACGGUACUGAAGGAGCAACCUGGGAGACUGAAAAGUCAAUGAGGCGUUUGUACCCUCAUCUUUUUGCUUAAGAUUUGUAAAUGUUUAAAUUUCGAGGACGGAAUUUUUAUAAGAGGGGAAGAGUUGUGAUAUUCUAGAAUUUCGAUUCUACUUUCAAUUGAAUAAAUUGGGCAUUUUAUCGACGUGCCUAUAGUGAUAUUUUCAGAGUUGAUCACUUGUGAGAUAACUAGACUAUAUAGGGAAGUCAUUAAAAGAUUUUAAGGCAAAUAGACUUGAGAGUUCGACCAAGCAUCGGCUACUCGACCGUGCUCAUCUGUAGAGAUCAUUGCGGCACAGUAAAAAAUUGCUUAGAGGUUAGAGAUAGGUCAGUUAAAAAUACCAAUUUGAUCAGGGACUUAACAAUGAAAUUUAUAGAGGCCAAAUUAGAUUGAAUUAAGAGGCAAUUGGCGUCCAAUUGUGGGGAAAACACAACACGUUCAAUAUGCUUUGACAUGUUCUGACACGUGGUUAACAGGUGUUGAAAAAUCUGACUUGUGAUCAACUCUCCCGACAUGUAAGUCCGGUGUUAUACUUUGACACGUUUUGAUAUGUGGUCAACAAAUAUCAAAAAAUCUGACAUGUGGUUAACUCUUCCAACACGGUUUGACAUGCGGGUCCAAAAUUCCGACACGAGAUUUCGACACGCACGGGUCGAUUUUAAAUAUUUUCAAUAGACGACAAGUCAAAAUGUAAAUAUGUACAAAAAUAAAUAGUAAUAAAAAUAAUAAAAGGGAGAAAGGAGAAAACCUAAUCUUCUCCUCUUUUGACUUUCACUUCCUAUAAUUCACAAUUUUUAGUGUAAAUUCAUUCUAGUCUUUAUUAUUAUUAUUAUUUAUUUAUUUGUGAAUUUGAAUCAAAUUAAUUUGAUUGAAAUAAUCAUAGAAAUGAUAAUUUAUCAUGUAUACAUAAAAAUAUAUAUUUAAUAUAUGAUGUAUCCUAAUGUGUUCGACUUUUUUCUUUUAGAAACGACGUGUCAGCAUGUCGGGUCGUGUCAUUUUGCGUGUUGCGUAUGGUGUUGGUGCUACUUAAGAUUGUAUCACAAGGUAAAUCAUUAAAAAAUCUAGAACUAAAUUGAUCAAAUCAAAAUUAUAAAAUUGAAUUGGUAUACAUGUGAAAGGUUUAACAACUUUCUACUAAUCAUUCCAUAUUUCAACACUCGCGUUGUUGCUUUUUUCUCCCAUAGAGGUUAUGAAUUACAAAUAUAGUAAUCUUUGGUUGGCCAAUUAAAGAGCGGUAAUCUUGUGUCAACCCUCCUAGGAAAAAGAAUUUAUUGAACCUCGAAACAAUAGCAUAGCAGCUAUGAAGCCAUAUUAUAUCAUGCUAUCAUAUAAAUGUGGAGUAGCUCAUUGCCCAUUUCAUACCAUUUUCUAAUCUUUUUCAUAUGAUAAAAGUCAACGUAAAAAGGUGGUUUCAACUAUUUCCUCAUCAAUUACGAUUACUUAACUUCAUAGCACUAUCAAAAUUAAAUUUUCUUGUUUUUUGCUAAGUUAAAAUCUAUCUUACUUCACAAUAAUUUAGUUCAUCACUAAAAUCAGACAAAAUCGUUAUCUUCUGUCUAUUUUCCCAGUUUCCAUGUACCAUUUUUCCAAUGAAGGAUUUAUCUCAACAAGAAAAAUCAUUUCAAUGAAAAGACGAUUACGCCCUUCCGGAAUCAUCCAAUGACUCUAUCCUGUCACGAAGACAAGAACCGCCACCUUUUAGCCCGCCACCUUUUAGCCCACCCCCUUUUAGCUCUCUCUCUCUCUCUCUCUCUCUCUCUCUCUCUCUCUAUAUAUAUAUAUAUACACACGCGCACACACAUGCACACAUACGCCGGGAAGAACGACGCCUCCACUGUGAAAGCACCCUCUGAGAUGGCCGAGAAGAGCAGAGUCCUGGUGAAGAGCAGAGUCCUGGUGAUCGGAGGCACCGGACGCAUCGGAAAGUUCAUCGUGGAAGCAAGUGCUAAGUUUGGUCACCCUACCUUCGCUCUCGUGAGGGAGUCCACUCUCUCCGACCCAGCCGAGGCCAACAUUGCUGAAGGUUUCAAGAGCUUAGUUCUUCUGAUGCAAUCCUGUUCGUUUCUCGCAUUUGGUGCUCCUUUGAUGAAUUGAAGCGUCCCCUACCGUUAAUCUCAUCCGUCGUUUCGAGAAAUGUCUUUAAUCGUAAAAUCAGAGUCGCCUUUUAUCUCAAUCUUUCACAAGAUCGAGUUGAUAUUUGCUGUUUCAUUUUCCCUCCUCUAGUAAUUUGUCCCUGUAUUAUUGGCCAUUUUUCACAUUGACUAACGAAUCACCUCAGCUUCGCAUUCUGAUACGAAGUACGAAUAGAAUACAUUUUAAAACAAAUCUUAUGAAAACUUCCAUAUUUUACGUACUGCCUAAAUGAACUUGUAUAUAAAAGUGAAUGUGACUGACCUGUAAUUCAGAUGUCACCGCAAAUCCCUUGCUAUAACCUUUCAAAAAAUUUGGUAGGCAAUGCAUGGACAACAAUUCUGUGGAUGCUUCAUUUCUUAUUAUACUUUUUUCUUGUCUGGUGAAGGUAUUCAAGUCUUAUCUGCAUCGGACUUCAUAUCUAUCCUUUUUCGUAGUCUUCGUACUGGCCAAGAUAGGAUUGAUUGAUGAUUGGUCGCUUCAUUGAUUGUUUGUCCAUGCUCUUGGUUAUUUGAUUCUCAGGGAGACAUAUACGAUCAAGAGAGUCUGUUGACUGCGAUUAAGCAGGUUGAUGUGGUAAUCUCUGCUGUGGGGCCAACACAGGUAGAGAUCCAAGAUAGGAUUGUUGCAGCCAUCAAAACAGCCGGGAAUAUCAAGGUCGUGCUGUUUAUAAUAAUUUCAUCCAAGUUACCAUUGCUCGUUUGACAUUUAACUGAUGAUAUAGGUUGGUGCAAGCUUAACUCUUUUUCUUCUGGUAUUAGUGUAUCGGGUUCUCCUUGUGAGCUCCACUUUGAUGAAAUGGGAUGGAUUCACUUACUUAUUUGUAGACUUCACUUCUUUCUUUAUUAAACGGUCAUGACUUUCUGUAGAAGUCGUCAGUGAAAUUUGAGGCUAACUAUUUCAAAUCCAAGUACCGGACAAUGCCGGAUUCACUGUGGUUGGGUUUCCUCUAGGUCAAUGAAAAAAGUAAAAGGUUUCAAGCACUCGAUAUGGAUUAUGGUCAUGUGCCCUAUUCUCUGAUCAAUAAUGGGAAACAUGAACUACCUAUUCCUUCAAAAGGUUUUUUUCGGUAAAAUUAAUAUUAUAGAAAAUAAGUUUUUAAAACCCAACUGGUGGAUAAUUUAGUAGUUGUUGCCUAGGGGGUUGACGGUCACUUCUUUAUUUUUUAAACGGUCAUGACUUUCUAUAGAAGUUGUUAUUGAAAUUUGAGGCUAACUAUUUCAAAUCCAAGUACCGGACAAUGUCGGAUUCACUAUGGUUGGGUUUCCUCUAGGUCAAAGAAAACAGUAAAAGGUUUCAAGCACUCGAUAUGGAUUAUGGUCAUGUGCCCCAUUCUUUGAUCAAUAAUGGGAAACAUGAACUACCUAUUCUUUCAAAAGUUUUUUUUUUUUCGGUAAAAUUAAUAUUAUAGCAAAUAACUUUUCAAAACCCAACUGGUGGAUAAUUUAGUAGUUGUUACCUAGGGGGUUGACGGUCGGUAAAGAGUGGAGCUUAGCAUGCUCACAUAAGGCAAUGUACUCACCUGAUAAUUUAUUUCUUGUGAAAAGUGUACAAGCAAGCAGCAUCUUUGCAUAUUUUAUACUUGCCAGAGUUAUCUGGCUAUUGGCCUAACAACUAAAUCUUCAGUUUUCUUUUCUUCUACUUUUAUAAUAUCACUUAAUUGCUAUUUUGACUCACUUAUAAUUAUUUUUACUAUAUUAUAGUCCGUUUAUGAAAAAAAAGGUUAAAUUCAGUCUUAUGUAAGUUUGUUUUCUUUGUUUGCUCUGUUAUAGUCACAUGUUAAAGAAAAAAGUGAAACAUAGUCUCAUAUGAGUUUGGUUUCCCUUUUUUGCCAGAACUCAUGUAAGUUUGUUGGAUGAGGGGAUUUUGCUCUAGUUUUUUGUUGCUUUCUAAUAAAAAUGUAUCUCCUGAUUCCAAUUAAUUUUUUUUUCUAGAGAUUCUUGCCUUCAGAGUUUGGAAAUGAUGCGGAUCGUGGCCAUGCUGUGGAGCCAGCAAAAACUGUAUAUGCUAUCAAGGGCAAGAUCCGCCGCCUUAUUGAGGCUGAGGGAAUCCCUUAUACAUAUGUGGUUUCUAACUAUUUUGCAGGUGACUAUCUUAGGACAUUGUCACAGCUCGGGGCUACAGCUCCCCCUAGAGAUAAAGUUGUCAUCUUAGGGGAUGGAAAUGUAAAAGGUGAGAAGCAAUUCAUCGAAAUGCACAUUUUAAAUAGUUAAGAUUUUUCUGUACAUUAAUCACGAUUUAAUUACGGUAGUGAUUAGUGCGAGGGGCAAUUCUUGAAGCUUGAGAAUUCCGAGGCAACGUCCUUGUCUGGAGAUAUUAGGACUCUUACAUCCAUUAGUCUUCACUUUAAGAGACUAGUAGAUGAUAUGAGUGUGUUGUGGUUUAUCAUGGCAUAAUACCACCUAGUGGGCAGAUCAUAAAGGUUCUCUUUAUGUAUUUGGUUGAGAAAAGAACAUAUGGAUGCAUCUGUUUGUCGAUUGUUCAAUGAAUCUGUUUAUUGAGAGAAUUAUUCUUCAAUUCGAGCCAAAAGUAACCCUAGGAAGAUCAAUGGCUCUGUGAUUUAUUUAUUAGCCAAAUUCUAAAACUCUCCAUGUCAAUAUGCAGCGGUAUUUAACAAGGAGGAUGACAUUGGCACCUAUACCAUUAAAGCCGUGGAUGAUCCAAGGACCUUGAACAAAAUUCUGUACAUCAAACCUCCUGCCAACAUCUACUCUUUUAAUGAGCUCGUGUCACUGUGGGAGAGAAAGAUCGGCAAGACCCUGGAGAGGGUGUAUGUUCCAGAUGAGGAUAUUUUGAAGAAUAUUCAAGGUUAGGGCUGCAUUUCUAUUGGAUUUAAGUGCAUGAAUCGUCUCUGUUCUCUCUAAGAUUUAAUGCUUUUCCGGUUAUUACAGAGGCGGCGGCUCCGCUCAAUCAUGCAUUGGCAGUAUUCCAUGCUGUUUUCGUGAAAGGAGACCAAACCAACUUCGAGAUUGAGCCAUCAUUCGGAGUGGAAGCUUCAGAGCUCUACCCUGAUGUCAAGUACAUGACUGUGGAUCAGUAUCUGGAUCAAUUUGUUUGAUUAUCGAACCCAACCGUGCUUGUUAAAUUUCUCACAUCGGCUUGAAUCAUAAAUAAAAUAGGAUGCUACUUCUCAGGAUCCUAGUGUGAAAUGUUGCUUCUGCUGAUCAUCACAUGGCAUGUACAACCCCAAAGUUUGAGGACAUCCUAUGAAGUGCUCGGAGAAAUUACUUAUGUUUUGGAGAUUGAUAUUGGAUUCAUGGGCCAACCCGAGCUAACACAAAGACAUGGGUUUUUCUAUUUUUGUAUAUCGUAUUGUCUUUCAUGUCUAAAUGAUUCACGGAUGACCACUAUCGUGAAGUCAGAUACUUAACGUGUUAGCAAGGAUGAAUUUCCGUCGUGAGUUGAUUAUGGAUAAUUUUAAAGAAUGACAAGUUAAAACAAACGUAAACUGAUUAAUGAAGUCCUCACAAACGAGUUAUCGUUAAUGUUUUUGGGGGCUUUUAUAGGCUGCAGGGAACAAACACGAACAAAAAGAGGCAUGUGCUAUAAAUCUGGACAACUCUCGAACCAAUUUCUUAUCCCAAAAGUCCGGCAUUUUGUGGAUUGUUGUCUACUUAGGGAUGUCUUUGGUUCAGUUUUUCCAAACCCACCAUAAAUCAGGAAUAAUUAAUGAAGAAAUAUAAAAUAGCUUAUUUUGUCAGGAAGUAACAAUCAAUUACUGUAAAAAGAUUUCGUUCUUGAAUUCCGUGGAGAACAUGCAGCCAUCACAAGUCAGGGCUGUCGAUUUCUUUUCUACCUUGAUGGAUGUUUGAUCGACAUAACAAUCAAUUUUCUAGGUCAAAUUCAGACAACAUUCGGUAAGUCAAGUGAUUGCCAACUUCAUUGAUCGUUUGUGCAUACUCUUGGUUAUUUGAUUUUCAGGGAGACAUAUACGAUCAAGAGAUUCUACUGAAUACAAUCAAGCAGGUCGAUAUGACAAUCUCUGCUAUGGGGCGAGUGCAAGUAAAGGACCAAGACAGGAUUGUUGCUGCCAUUAAAGUGGCUGGGAAUAUCAAGGUCGUGUUGUGCCUAGUAAUUUCAAUUUCAAGUUACUAUUGUUCGUUCAGCAUUUGACUGAUGAUAUAGGUUGGUGUUACCUUGAUUCUUGUCUCGCUGGUUUAGGUGCAUCACGAUCUCAUAUUGAGCUCCGCUUUGAUGAAAUGAGAUGGAUGGACGGUAUCUAUCUGUAGACUUCACUUCUUUCUUUUUGAAAUGGUCACGACUGUGUAAAGAGUUUUGAGUGCUCAAUUUCGAUUUUGGACGAUUUGCCCAGCUCUUUGAUCAUGAAUUCGUUGGAAACAUAAACUAGUUAGUCCUUUAAAUGUUCUUUUUCAGUAGUAUCACCAUUGUUGGAAUAUGUUACCUAAUCUCACUUGCCGGGAUAGUGAUGUACUUAAUGAGUAUGUCCAUGAUGGGGUGCGAUUGGAACGCAUUGUUUCGUCUUGAUAUGCUACGAUGGAAAGACACCAUUUGAAAGGGUACGAAGGGAGUUGUAUAAAAGUCUUCUGAAGAUAAGCGUUGGAAUGGUUGGCAGAACGUACGCUCAGAAAUUCUCCAUUUCUUGUCCCCUUUCCAUCAAAGAAAAAGGAAGGCGUUCCAUUUCUCCUUUACAAGAACAAUUGGCAUUUACACUGUGGAAAUUAGAUGUUUUCCUUGUGAUUACAUUCAGACCAACAUGACAUAAUAUUAUUCAUGAUUCAUCCGUAAUUCAAUGAUCGUUCCAGGGUAAAUUGUUGAUUGCACAUCGGAAACAGGUAAGUCGUCUUCCGCCCGACUUUCAUACAACGUUGGUGUUAGAGCCUGGUUGUGAUUUUUGCCUCGUUUUUCAUCGAAUUUUCUCAUUUAUCAUUUGAUAUCGAUAUCAAGAGUAUGAAAUAUACACUGUUUGGAUGUUUAUUGCUCAGAAUUGCUAUCUGAAUCGUCGAAAACGAACCGAAGCGAAGAACGGGUUCGAGGUUGCAUACAUCUGUACAGUAUUAGCCAUUUUUUGAAAUAUUUUUUUGGCCAAAAUAAAUUUUCAACUAUACAGGAUAAAAGUACUCGUUGAGACGAGUCUAACGAUGGGUAGAGUGCCAUCGGAGGACGCCGGACGCGCCCACUCACAUGGCCAGAAGCCACUGUGGCUAGGUGCCACACGCCUGACCCAUUGGGCACGCCAACGUGUGACUGUCACGCACGCAUCAAUGAAACAACGCGUGCUAACGUCACUGUGACAUCAUCGAGACGUCAUCCAAUGGUCAGUAACUGCCGAAUGACGUCAGUGGUGAUGUCACCGUUGGCAUAGUUCGUCGGCUGAUGGCCGGUGGAAGACCCAACCCGAGACUCAACCCUUCCAGGACCCGACCGGUGAUCUGACCUGACCUGACUCAUUCAUUGACUGGUCAACGGUCGGACCGGCCAGGAGCCUUUUAGGCUCAUUGGCGCGUGCGCCACACGCGCCGCACACUCAGGCAACACGUGUGGACGCGUGUGAUGUCGGAUGGAGCGUGGUCGGCGGCGUUUGGUUUGUAUGGUUGUUCUCUAUACUAUGGUAAAUUUAUUUUAUAUUUUUGAGUUUUUUAAAUGUAUAAAAAAUAUGUAGGGAACCCUGAGUACGCGUAUGUUUGGGGUUUAAAUAUGUUAUUUAUUCUUUUUGUAGCUUGUAUUUCUUAUGGUUUUGGAAAUACAGUAGCUUGCCUACAUAAAAAUGAUAUAAUAUAUGCCGUGUAGGGCUUGGUUUGAUGGUAGUAUGUAUACAAUUUAAUAUACUUGCAAUUUUCUAGUUCCAAGAAAAUUCGAACAAUGGUAGAAAAUCCUUGUUUUUCCGUUUCAUGUUGAAUUGUGUUUUUAAUUGAAGUUGUAACAUGAUUUAUUUUUGUUCGUUGGUUCAAAUCUUGCUAUGCUUUUGUGUUAAUGGAAAAAUAUAAAAAUUACAUGAGGUCAUGUAAUUAUUUUUUCUAGUGGGAGUUCGUAGGUUGGUAGAAUUUGAAGGAGUUCUCACCUAGAACUUAAAAUUUGAGCAAAUUAAACUAAUUAAUGAUAAUAGAACAAUCGUACAUAGGAGCUGAUUGAGAACAUAAUGAACUUUUGUUUUUGUUUCUUUUGUUGAAUUAUCAUUGAUUUAGUUUGUCUUUGCUGCAAAUUAAAUAUGUGUGUUACUCUGAAAAGUGUGCUAGUAUUGAUUCUACAUUUAUUAUGUUAAUGUGUUAUAGCAAUUGAUUAUGGUUUCGGCAUCCAAGACCAUUAUAGCUGACCUCAAUAAGGGUGAGAAGUUGAAUGGUGACAAUUAUGAUAUUUGGCACCGAAAGGUUCAGUACAUCUUUGAGAAGCAAGAGGUUUUGGAAAUCCUCAACCACAUCAUGGAUGAACCUGAGUAUGGAACUUCAGCUCAACACAUGAGAGAUUUAAAAACUUAUCAAACUUGGUAAAAGAAAAAUAGCAUUGCUCGCAUCAUGUUGUUGAUCUGUAUGCAAAAUGAUCUCAUGUGUGAGUUUGAAAGUUAUGAUAAAGUUCGAGCAAUGUGGGUUGCCUUGAAAGAUAAGUUUGGGGAUACAUUUGCCACUAAGUUGAGGAGACUCACCAUUAAGUUUGACACAUAUCGAAAGCACCAAAAUAUAACGAUGAGGCAACACCUUCGGAAGAUGUCAAACAUCAUUCGUGAGUUGAAGUCGGCAGGUCACUCCCUUAUUGAUGAACAUCGAGUUCAGGUUGUUAUAAGGUCUCUUCCUAAUAAUUUGUAGCAUAUGAAAAUCAAUAUGACGCAUAAUGAGAAUAUUGUCACUUAUGAUGAUAUUGCAUGUCAUUUGGAAUUAGAGGAUGAGUGCCUAGAGGCUGCGAGAUCUUCUACCCAUGCUUAUGUUGCUGAAUUGAGUUCGUGCAAGGCUUCAGGUUUAAAAUGCAAAAGGAAUCAUCAAUUCAACAAUAAAGGGAAGAGUACUGAUUAGACACCUAAAAGGGCUAAGACUUUCCAACGCAAGAAACGUGGUGGGAAGAAGGACAAAGCCAAGAUGGUGUGCUACAAUUGUGGCAAAAUGGGUCACUUUGCUCGUGAAUGCACUGAGCCGAAAGAGGUACCCUAUUACUCCAUUACUUUAAGUAAUGUUUUUAUUUCUAGCACUAGAAUACUUGCUGAAUCUCAUCUAAUGUGGAAUGUAGACUAGGAGCAACAGAUCAUGUAGCUAGAGAUCGAGAAGCAUUUGUGGAGUAUUGUCGGAUACAGCUUGGAAGAAGAUAGAUAUAUGUUGAGAAUAACUCAAAAAUUGAAGUGAAGGGUAUCGACACAUAUAAAUUAAUUUUACGUGGUGAUUGAAGCCUAUUCCUACAUGAUGUCCUCUAUGCUCCGGAUAUUCGAUGAAACUUGGUCUCCGUAGUUGUUCUUCUCAGCCUAGGUUAUGUAUUAAACUUCUAUGGUGAUUGUGUUGACAUUUUGUUUGGAAUAGUUUAUUAUGGUUCAGGUCAUGUAUUGAAUGAUUUUAUGGUGUUAGACAUUGACUAUGAUCAAUACAAUGUUAAUAUCGAUGGUUGUUUUUCUUUAAUUGCAUCUUCUAGUAAUAUUGAGAUUGAUGCAAGUACACUCACUAAGGUUAAUUUACCCGUAUGUAAACAUUGUCUAGUAGGAAAAAUAACUAGAAAACCAUUUGGUAAAUGGGCUAGAGCCGAAUUUCCAUUACAACUCAUACAUUAUGACAUUUGUGGCCCUUUGAAUGUGAAAGCGAGGUAUGGAGCCUCAUAUUUCAUCACUUUCAUAGAUGACUUCACGAAUUUCGGUUAUAUUUUUCUGAUUUCCCUUAAGUUAGAAGCAUUAGAUUGCUUUAGUCGAUAUAUAACGAUGGUAGAGAAUUAGUUGAACAAAACAAUAAAGUAUUGAGAACCGAUCAUGGACGUAAGUAUCUAUCUAAGCAAUUCAAUACUCUUUGUGAUAAAAAGGGAAUUAUAUGACAAUUGACUAUUCCUGAUACUCUAUAACAAAAUGGGGUAACGGAGAGAAGGAAUAGAAUGCUAUUGGAAAUGGUUAGGUCUAUGAUGACUCAAGCAAAUUUACCUAUCUCCUAUUGGGGAGAUACAUUAUUGACUGCUACCUAUGUACUUAACCAAGUGCCCUUAAAAUCGGUCACUUCCACCCCUUAUAAAUUGUGGACUGGUAGGAAACCAAAUUUAAGUAUUCUAUGUCCAUGGGGAUGUACAGCUUAUGUUCAUGAUUCUUCCCAUAAAUAUGGUAAAUUAGGUCAUAGAGGGAAGAAAUGUAUCUUUAUGAGAUAUUCUGAACACUCCAAAUGGUACGUGUUCAUAGGUUAACAAGCUGAUGGAAGUGUGACCGAAAUGGAGUCACGGGAUAUCACGUUUUUGGAGAACGAUUUUCUUAGUAGAGGUGAGAUUGAUAAGGAUUUUCAAUUACAUGAGAUGGAAAACCCUAAUAACACACCCACUAAUGUUGUAGAGGGAAAUAAAGAUUUACCUUAACAUACAAGACCUAGUGGGAGUGUUGCAUCGCCUGACGAAUUGAAUUCAAGAGAAAUUCAGUUGCGUAAAAGUAAUCGUAAAAGUAUUCAUCGUCGUCGUUUUGAGAUUAAAGGGGAAGCUUUUAUGAUUACUUAGAAAGACGAUGCCGAGCCAAAGACUGUUCAAGAGGCUCUCUCAUCCUUUGAUAAGGAAGAAUGGAGAACAAUUUUAGAAGAUGAGAUGGAAUCUAUGAAGGCAAAUCAUGUCUGGGACUUGGUUGAUCUACCUCCUCAUCGCAAGGCCAUUGGAAACAACUGGGUCUUUAAAAUUAAGCGAAAGACGAAUGGAUCCAUUGAAAAGUAUAAGGCUCAUCUUGUGGUGAAAGAUUAUACUCAACAAGAGGGUAUAGACUAUGAGGAAACCUUUUAACCAGUUGUAAGGUUUGCCUCAAUACGCCUUAUCCUAGCCAUCGUUGCACAUUUGGACCUUGAAUUAUAUUAAGUGAAUGUAAAGACGCAUUUCUCAAUGGAGAACUAGAUGAAGAAAUCUAUAUGAAAUAAUCAAUAGGUUUCAUAGCUAAAGAUCAUGAGCAUAAAAUUUGCAAGUUUCAUCACUCAAUAUAUGGCUUUAAGCAAUCAUCUAGACAAAUGUAUCUUUGUUUUCAUCGAGUCAUAAUAACUUUUUGGUUUCACGAUGAUCGAAGAAGAUCACUGUGUAUAUGUCAAGCGGUCCGAAGAUAAAUUUGUGAUUUUAUCACUUUAUGUGGACGAUAUUCUAUUGGCCGGAAAUGACAAGGUUUUGGUUAUCAUCAUAAAAAAAUGAUUGUCCUCCAAUUUUGCAAUUAAAGGACAUGGGAGAAGCUACUUAUAUAUUAUGAGUUAAGAUCGAAAGAGAUCAAUCAAGGAAACUCAUUACUUUAUCACAAGAGUCUUAUAUAAUGAAAAUUCUUGAGUGUUUCAAUAUGCAGCAUUGUAAUCCCAUUGAUACUCUUGUCAUGCAAGGUGAAGACUUAAGUACUGAAAUGUGUCUUAAGACUCCAUAAGAAAUUAAAGUGAUGGAAAUUGUUUCUUACGCUAGUGCGAUCAGAAGUUUGAUGUAUGCUAUGAUAUGUAUUCGACCCGACAUAUAUUAUGCCGUGGGAUUAGUCAACCGAUAUCAAUCAAAUCCCAGUCAAGCACAUUAGAAAGCAGUGGAGAGGAUCCUGAGAUACUUGAAGUGCACCAUGGACUAUCGACUUUGUUACCAAGGGAAUGAUUUACGCCUAUUAGGCUACUCAGAUGUUGAUUGGGGUGGAGACCUAGAUGACCGUAAAUCGACUUCUGGAUAUGCGUUAUUGCUUAAUGGAGGUGCAAUUUCUUUGAAUAGCAAGAAACAGACAUGCACGACAUUGUCUACGAUGGAGACAGAAUUUAUUGCAUGUUCUGUUGCAGUGCAAGAAGUAGUAUGGCUAAAACGUUUCUUGGAAAAUUUAGCCAUUGUCACUGAGGUUCCAAGACUGAUGAUAGUUCAUUGUGAUAGUCAAACAACCAUUGCCUAUGUGAAGGAUCCCAAGUGUCAUGGAAGGACGAAACACAUUGACAUAAAGAACAACUUCAUAAGAGAUAUAAUAGCGUAGAAAGAAGUGAUCCUACAAUACAUUUCAACCAAUAGAAUGGUUGCUGAUCCAUUUACGAAAGCUAUUCCUAAAGACAUAUUCUUGACCCACAAGAUGUCACUAGAAUUGUGUAGAAUGUGAUAUGUGUUAUUGUAGAGGAUAAUUGGUUUAUGUAUUUGUGGACAUAUAUAUUGUACUUGUUUGUUUAUUAGUGACUUAAUGUUUUAUCAAUAAGUACAAAUCCAUUAUGAGACUAGCACAUACACCCAUAUAUUAUUGAAAAGUAUGUUAGUAGGCAAUGAUUGGUUCACUCACACGAGCAAUCACCUCAAGUGUUAUAGUUAGCACGUUGAGAUGAGACGUUAUGUACAAAUGAAUGCGGAAAAGCAAGUUUAGUACAUAAAAGAAUAUGUCGUCUUGAAUGGAGUCAAGAUGAGAUCUGUGAUUCUUUUAUAAUAAGACCGAACAUGAUAGUCCCACAAUUAUGUAUGUUUGAAAGAUGCCGAAUGCGAGUACUUAAUUGGGCGCUAUAGAAAGCGAGCUGAUGUAGCACUCAAGCUAAACAUGAGUACGUGAGAAGCACGUGACUAUAUUUAGGCUAAGAUUUGUAUAGUGGAUAUAUUUAAUAAAUGACAUACACUCUUAAAGAAAGAGAAAUCCACUAUAACAUGUAAUUCAUACUACACGUGCAUUGUUCGAUCGACAAGGGAAGGUGAGUAAAAUUAUCCCUAUUUACUCAUUGUGUGAGCCCUUGAGGUAAUUUAUAAUUUACCUCAUUUUGUGCCCUAUGUUAUUUCUGACUAUGUUCUCAAAGUGAAAGAUCAAUAUUGCUACUUUAACAUGUUAUCGGCGGUCAUGAAUAGAUAUAGCCUUAUGGGACGUGUCUAAGAAAGUAGUUGUUCUGAAAUGGAGAGAAACAUGAGUGCGAAGGAAGACUAUUAUUGUUUUACAUCUAUCACAUGUAUUUACUGGUCGACCAAUUAUAUUGCGUUAUGUGGUUGUGGAUAUAAUUAUAAAUAUAUGGUGUUGUGAGAAUAGUCAAGUAUAAUAUACUUGGAUUGAUGUAACAAAAUAAGUUUGAGGCACUGUGAGGAUAUCGAUUAUUUAUUUCUUUACAAGGUUGUAGCCAUUAUGUCAUCCCUAACAGGUGCAUAAUUUGAGCUCCCAAGUGCAGGUGUGCUUACUGGUUGCACAGCUUACUUGCCAGUAUGAAUUGUUUUGUAAAGUUAAUGAAUGUUGAAUGCCUUAUAUUCUUGAUAAAACAUUAUCAAGCUCAUCAUGUCUGAGUGGGAGAUGAUGUACUUAAUGAGUACGUCCAUGGUGGGGUGUGAUUGGAAUGCACUGUUUCGUCUUGAUAUCUUACGAUGGAAAGACACCUUUUGAAAGUGUAUGAAGGAAGUUGUAUAAAAGUUUUCUGAAGAUAACCAUUGGCACGGUUGGCAGAACGUACGCUCAGAAAUUCUCCAUUUCUUGUCCUCUUUCCAUCAAAGAAAAAGGAAGGCGUUCCAUUCCUCCUUUACAAGAACAAUUUGCAUUUAUGUUGUGAAAAUUGGACGUUUUCCUUGUGAUUACAUUCAGACGAAUGUGAGGUAGUAUUAUUCGUGAUUCAUCCGCAAUUCAACGAUCGUUCCGUGGUGAAUUGUUGAUUGCGCAUCAGAAAUGGGUAAGUCGUCUUCCACGACUUUUUUCCAACAUAUAGUAUUUAGUCAUUGUCGUUGAUUUGGGUGGUUGACGGUCGAUAGUGAAUGGAACAAAGCAUGCUCACAAAAGGCAUUGGACUUACUUGAUAUCUUAUGAAAGUGUCCAAGCAAGCAGAAUAUCACGCCCUAAACCUCGAGCAUGUGCCCAUCCCUUGGUGGUUGAUAAAAUUUGCGACGUCCCAGGAUGCGUCGCCGAUCCAUUCAUUUUAAUGCACAUGUAGAAGCGAAACAAUACCCCUGACAACAACUAACACGAGAUAGAAAAACAGGAAAUAUAUUCACAACUAAAAUAGUUUUAUAAAUACUCCAGUUUAUAUACAACACUAGUCUAUAGACAAAAGUCUACAAAAGAUCGGCUCUCAAAAGAAGCUAUCCUAAGACCUACUAGUCGGACACAUUCACCGAUCCUUCGGUCUCCAUAGGCUCUGGGGGCUUUAGGUCCUCCACAGCACCAUCAGGAGGGUCAGCUUGUCACGCCCUAAACCUCGAGUGCGCACACAUCCCUCGGUGGUCGAUAAAAUAUGCGACGUUUCCAAGACACGUUGCCAACCCAAUCGAUUAUGCACAUGCAGAAUCAAAUUAACUAAUCCCCUGACAACAACAUACAUGAGAUAGAAUUGCAGGACAACCAAAUAAACAAUCUAGUUUACACACAGAGGCCAACUCUAAGGUCUAAGUACAGGAGGUCUAUCUCCAAAUAGAACUACUGAGCCACCCAUGCUUCUGACCCUUCCGUCUCAAGCUCCGAGUUCUUCACACUAGAGACUUGAAAAUGGUAACCCACGACGAAGUGAGAUAUAAAUCUCAACGAAUUCACUCCUUAAACCCCGAUUAGGAAGAUAAUACACUUAGAGGUAGCUUACACAUACACCCAAUGAGACUUACCCCGCUUCAGUUCCAUCCUGCACAUUAGUACAGUUCUUAAAACAUAUGCACAUACUCAAUGCACUCAUCGAUUGGAACAUCUCAUUAUCAAACAAUCACACACAUGAGUCCCGAUUAUAAAGCGAAAUCGUAAUGACAUAUCCCAUUCCGUGUCACACAAUUUCAUCCCAUAAUCAGGCGCGGGUAACUCAUAUAAGUUGUUCAAUCCACACCCGAUAUUCACUCUCAAUAUUCCAAUUCCCAAUUCAAACUCAAUACUCACUACCAAGCUCAAGGUUCUAAAGGUGUCUCUUCCCCACGAAGUUCCAGCAUCGUGUGGUGCUUAGUCCUUGACCACAAUCAACAAUAGCUCGAGGUACUAGAGGUGGCUCCCACGAAGUCACACCGUCGUGUAGUACUUAGUUUUCGACUAUCAUAAGCAAUAGCUCAAGGUACUAGAGGUGGCUCCCACAAAGUCACGUUGUCGUGUAGCACUCAAUUCUUGGCCACAAAAAGCACUGGUAUAAGGUUCUAGAAGUAACUCACAUGAAGUCUCGCUAUCGUGUAGCACUUAGUUCUUGACUAUGUAUGAUAGAAAUACAAGGCUUCUAGAGGUGGCUCCCAUGUGACUCAAGUCACCCUGUAGCACUUAGACUUUAACUACAUUAAGCAACGAUACAAGGUACUAGAGGUGGCUCACACGAGGAUUCAUUAUUGUGUAGCACUUAGUUCUUUACCGGCUCAUAACCCAUUGGAUUUCCUCAACACAACAUAUAUCACCUCAUCUUUCAAUAGUCAUCUUGCCCUGAUUAUAAACGAACACACGAUCAAUCAACCACGACCAAGGCCAUUGUGCUUAGCACUUGAAUGCCUUAAUUAAGGUAACGAACUUGGUCUAUUUUCUUCAUACUAAAAACACUCAGUAAAAUAAUCAUGUGUGGGUACACGGUUAGCUCGAACAAGAAAAUUGAUAUCCUUCUUUUUAAAAAAUUCCACUAUUUUAUAUAGUACUUAAAAACAUUUUUGGCAUAAAAAACUGACACCUGUUUUUUUCUAAUUAACUACCAAAAUUUCACAAUUUUGGAAUAAAUAACCAAAAUUCCAAUCAUAACUCAAUUUGCACAAAUUAACAUUCAAUUGUAUAAACUAAGCACAUUACUACAAUCAGCAUGAAAUUCUAGUCACUAGCUAUCCCUGUAUAAUUUUUGGAAAAUAUUAAAUAAUUAAAUAAAUACAACAAAUAAUUAAAUAAAUACCAAUAAAUCCAAUAAAUGCAAACUUAGGCCGAAAAUGCUAAUCUAACCACCUAAACAGGCCUAAAAUUUUUUCGAACCUAUCUAGAUAAAUAGCACAACUUAUCUAGUGAUGUGGACAUCGAACCAUAUCGAGGAGGAGGUGCUAGGAUCCCAUUAUCUAUUCCUACUGGUUUGAUUACUCAAGCACGGGCCAAGCAAUUUAAGCAAGUUGUUGGUGUCAUGGUUCGUGAUAUUUGGCGUGGAGAUAACCUUGAAUCAAAUCUUGAAAAAUCUUGGAAAUCUUGGCGCAAUUUGAUUAUUUGGUCACCAAAUAUUUGACCAAGUCAAAUAUAUAUAUAUAUACAUAUCUCUCUCUCUCUCUCUCUCUCUCUCUCUCUUUGUUUAGGAAUAUUCUAGAAUAUUAUGCAUUAUAUCUCUAGGGUUGGUUUUAGGGUUUGUGUGGCGGCUAAAAGGCCUAUAUAUAAGAAUGACUGAAUUUCCUUGGGGGACAAACAUAUUUUUAUUUUUGAGGAAAAAGUUGAGAGAUUUUCUUCUACUAUUCUUUUGAGGACUUGACUUUAUCAAAGUUCCCUUGUGACGGUCGAUUCAACUUAUCGAGCGAGAUAGUGAAUUCUUUUGCUCGUGGCGUCUAUAACAUUGGUUGGUUGACACGCGUUCGUCAAUAGGUCACGUUCAUACCGAUAUUGCCAAUCACAAGUUUGAUUGGAGGUUGAGGUUCGCAAUUUGCAACAUCAGGGCCUUUGUAGAACGAUCUUUCUGCAACGAUUCACAUCAAUUUGAGAUUUAUUGAGCUAGGGUUUUGGUUCUAGCCAAUUUAGGGAUCCGAUUGCUUUUGUGCUUCCAUACGAAGUUGUUUGCUGUUAGUUUUAAUUUUUUUUCUAGCAUCUUAAAAUGUAUCUGAGUUCGUCAAAAAAAGAAGAAAAAAGAGAGUAAGUUUGUCAAAAAAAGAAGAAGAGAAAGAAAACGCACACAAAAAAAGGUGCGCAAGAGAAAAAAAAAAUAGAUUCGGCAGAAAAAAUAGCCGAACAAAAAAAAAUCAAGAAGGCGACUCAUUUGUUAGUGGACCGAAUUGAAACAAAAUCAGUAGUGAUUUGCAUUUCAAUUGGAAUUUCAAAAGUUGUACUUGUUGGUUUGAAAUUGUUACUUGCUGAAAUAAAAUCAGUUGUGAUCUAAUCUUGUUUGAUUAGUUUGAUUGAUUUUCGUGAAGGGGUUGAGAGACAGGUUUUGAGACCGAUAAAGAGCUUGUGAAAAGAGAAUACGAGAGGAAAAAGGCAAGAGUGUGUAAGCUUAAUUGAGGGUGGAAAAAGACUAGACUUGAGUUAAACACGAGGGGAAUGCCAAAUACCUUGAGAGAAACACGUGAGGGAGCGAUUGGUGAGAAUUUUUGUGACUAACGUUUAUUUACAGGUUUAAAAUAUGUCACACGAAGAAAGCGUAAAUCAGAGGGAGGUUGACUCCAUAGGAAGGGAUGAAGCGCUCGUGAAAAGCAUCUAGCAAUUGAGGGCCGUAGUGGAGAAGCUUAGUGGCCGAAUGAUGGGGAAUGGUAUGAGGGUUGAUGGUGACUGAGAGCUACCCCGGGGAAGGUUGCAACAUCAGCGAGACGCCUCUAGAACACAACUUAGAAGGUAGCGGCAUUAUGAUGAUGAUGAGGUCAACAUGGAGGAUGAUCGAGAUGCUCGAUUUGGAAGGUGGAAUGGAGCUCGAGGGUUUAGAUAUCAAGAUGAAGAUUCCUUCUUUCCAAGGGAAGAAUGAUCCUGAUGCGUAUCUAGAAUGGGAGAAACGCAUGGAGAUGGUAUUUGAUUGCCAACGAUAUUCCGAGCUCAAAAAUGUAAAAAUUGCAACUGUUGGAUUUAUUGAUUAUGCUAUAAUUUGGUGGGAUCAACUUGUGACUAGUAGGAGGCGAACGAUGAAAGACCGAUAUAGACGUGGGAUGAGAUGAAAGUGGUGAUAAGAAAGCGUUUUGUACCAAGUCAUUACCACCGAGAUUUGUUUCAAAAGUUACAAAAUCUCACACAAGGCAAUAAGAGCGUGGAAGAGUAUCACAAGGAGAUGGAGAUUGACAUGAUCCGUGCUAAUGUGGUGGAGGAUUGUGAGGCCACAAUGUCAAGANNNNNNNNNNNNNNNNNNNNNNNNNNNNNNNNNNNNNNNNNNNNNNNNNNNNNNNNNNNNNNNNNNNNNNNNNNNNNNNNNNNNNNNNNNNNNNNNNNNNNNNNNNNNNNNNNNNNNNNNNNNNNNNNNNNNNNNNNNNNNNNNNNNNNNNNNNNNNNNNNNNNNNNNNNNNNNNNNNNNNNNNNNNNNNNNNNNNNNNNNNNNNNNNNNNNNNNNNNNNNNNNNNNNNNNNNNNNNNNNNNNNNNNNNNNNNNNNNNNNNNNNNNNNNNNNNNNNNNNNNNNNNNNNNNNNNNNNNNNNNNNNNNNNNNNNNNNNNNNNNNNNNNNNNNNNNNNNNNNNNNNNNNNNNNNNNNNNNNCAACAUAGGCACACCUAACAUGGUGUUAUUGAGUCCGAAAGUGAAAGGGAAGAAGAGGAUGAUGAGAUGCCACCAUUGGAGGAUUGUAGGGAUGGAGAAGUGGCUAUAAAAAGAGACUUAUUGGUGGUUAGGUGUUCUCUGAGUGUGCAAGUAAAGGAGGAGGAGCAUCACCAACAAGAGAUAACUUAUUUCAUACAAAAUGUGUGGUGAAUGGUAAGAUCUGUAGUAUGAUAAUUGAUGGAGGUAGUUGUGCGAAUGUGGCAAGUUCUACUAUGGUGGAUAAAUUGGGUUUGAAAACGACAAAGCACCCUAGGCCUUAUAGACUUCAAUAGUUAAAUGAUAGUGGUGAGGUGAAAGUAUCGAAACAAGUUCGAAUUUCAUUUGAGAUAGGGAGAUACAAGGACGAGGUAGAGUGUGAUGUUAUACCUAUGCAAACGGGUCAUAUCUUAUUUGGAAGACUAUGGCAAUAUGAUUGAAAUGUACAUCAUGAUGGGUAUACUAAUCGUUAUUCAUUGGUGAUGAAUUAAAAGACUUAUACCUUGAUACCAAUGACACCUAGUGAGGUGUAUCAAGAUCAGUUAAAGUUACAACGAGAAGCUGAUAGAGAGAGAAAAGGUGAGAAAUCCAAUGGCUUGCAUGGUGUGUUUGAGAUGCAAGGAAAAGGAGAGGCCGAGAGAAAGAUUGUGGUAAAAACCGAGGGAAAAGAAGAGAGGAAAGAAAAGAGGCAAAACAAUUUUUAUGCAAAAUCAAGUGAAGUGAGGAGAGCUUGAGUUCUAGAUCGACCAAUGCUUGUACUUGUGUACGAGGAGGUUUUAUUUUCUACUAACGAUCUUUACUUAAGUUUGCCUAGUCCUAUUGUGUCUUUAUUGUAGAAAUUUGAAGAUGUCUUUCCUGAUGAACUUCCUGGAGGGAUACCACCGAUUCGAGGCAUAGAAUAUCAAAUUGACUUGAUUCCCGGUGCGCCAUUACCUAACCAACCCGCAUAUCGAAGCAAUCCCGAGGAGACAAAGGAACUUCAGUGGCAAGUUAGCGAACNNNNNNNNNNNNNNNNNNNNNNNNNNNNNNNNNNNNNNNNNNNNNNNNNNNNNNNNNNNNNNNNNNNNNNNNNNNNNNNNNNNNNNNNNNNNNNNNNNNNNNNNNNNNNNNNNNNNNNNNNNNNNNNNNNNNNNNNNNNNNNNNNNNNNNNNNNNNNNNNNNNNNNNNNNNNNNNNNNNNNNNNNNNNNNNNNNNNNNNNNNNNNNNNNNNNNNNNNNNNNNNNNNNNNNNNNNNNNNNNNNNNNNNNNNNNNNNNNNNNNNNNNNNNNNNNNNNNNNNNNNNNNNNNNNNNNNNNNNNNNNNNNNNNNNNNNNNNNNNNNNNNNNNNNNNNNNNNNNNNNNNNNNNNNNNNNNNNNNNNNNNNNNNNNNNNNNNNNNNNNNNNNNNNNNNNNNNNNNNNNNNNNNNNNNNNNNNNNNNNNNNNNNNNNNNNNNNNNNNNNNNNNNNNNNNNNNNNNNNNNNNNNNNNNNNNNNNNNNNNNNNNNNNNNNNNNNNNNNNNNNNNNNNNNNNNNNNNNNNNNNNNNNNNNNNNNNNNNNNNNNNNNNNNNNNNNNNNNNNNNNNNNNNNNNNNNNNNNNNNNNNNNNNNNNNNNNNNNNNNNNNNNNNNNNNNNNNNNNNNNNNNNNNNNNNNNNNNNNNNNNNNNNNNNNNNNNGACGAUUUGUGAGAAAUUUCAGCACCAUUGCCGCACUUUAACUAAGGUUAUCAAGAAGCACGUGGGUUUCGCGUGGGGAGAAGAGCAAGAGCCAAGAGAAAAACAUUAAAUCUGUACAUUUAAUCUGCUAAAAGAUAAGUUGACUAAUGCUCAUUUGUUAUCUUUGCCGAAUUUCAAUGCUACUUUUGAAAUAGAGUGUGAUGCUUUUGAUAUAGGAAUGGAGCCGUGUUGAUGCAAGGAGGGCGUCCCAUAGCUUAUUUCAGCGAGAAACUGAGUGGAGCAACAUUGAAUUAUCCUACCUAUGAUAAGGAGAUGCAUGCUUUAGUGCGAGCUUUGGAAACUUGGCAACAUUAUUUAUGGCCAAAGGAGUUUGUGAUCCACACUAACCAUGAAACCUUGAAGUACUUGAAAGGGCAGUAAAAUUUGAAUAAAAGGCAUGCGAAAUGGAUGGAGUUCAUUGAGACUUUUCCAUAUGUGAUCAAUUACAAGAAAUGUAAGGAGAAUGUGGUAGCCGAUGCACUUUCUCGAAGGUAUGCGAUUCUAACUACUUUAGAAGCAAAGUGUUUAGGUUUUGAGCAUAUCAAGAACUUAUAUACUGAUGAUGAUGACUUUAGGAGAGUGUUUGAAGCAUGUGAGCAUGCUGCAUUUGAUAAAUUCUAUAGGUGUGAAGGUUAUCUUUUCUGUGAAAACAAACUAUGUUUGCCUAAGUGUUCUUUGCGUGAAUUGUUGGUGCGAGAAGCGCAUAAUGGUGGUUUAAUGGGGCAUUUUGAUAUUAAUAAGACUUAUGAAGUGCUGCAUGAACAUUUUUAUUAGCCACAUAUGAAGAGAGAUGUCACACGUGUCUGUGAGAGAUGUAUUGCUUGUAAGCAAUUGAAGUCUACAACUAAACCACAUGGCUUAUAUACACCAUUACCUAUUCCAACGCANNNNNNNNNNNNNNNNNNNNNNNNNNNNNNNNNNNNNNNNNNNNNNNNNNNNNNNNNNNNNNNNNNNNNNNNNNNNNNNNNNNNNNNNNNNNNNNNNNNNAUGUGGUUGUUGAUCGGUUUUCAAAGAUGGCUCAUUUUAUACCUUGUUAUAAAAUUGAUGAUGCAUCUCAUGUUGCUAAUUUGUUAUUUAGGGAAGUUGUACGUUUGCAGGGCAUGCCUAGAUUGAUUGUUUCAAAUCGAGAUUCUAAAUUUCUUAGCUACUUUUGGAAAACAUUGUGGAAAAAACUAGGAAGACGGUUGUUAUUUUCUACUACUUGUCAUCCACAGACCGAUAGUCAAACCGAGGUAGUUAAUAGAACUUUAGGGGUAUUGUUGCGUGCUAUUAUUAAAAAGAACAAAAAAUCUUGGGAAGAUUGUCUGCCACAUGUUGAAUUUGCAUAUAAUAGGAGCAUACAUUCUGUUACUAAAUUUACACCAUUUGAGGUUGUUUAUGGUUUUAAUCUGUUAACUCCUUUAGAUUUAACCCAUUUACCUGUUAAUGAGUGUGUGGGUUUAGAUGGAGCAAAGAAAACUAAAUUUGUCAAGGCGUUACAUGAGAAGACGCGCACAAAUAUUGAGCGCAAGACUGAGCAAUAUACAAGGCAAGCCAACAAAAGGCGCAAGGAAGUAGUAUUUGAACCAGGCGAUUGGGUUUGGGUUCAUUUGCGCAAAGAGUGAUUUCUUGAGCAACGACAUUCUAAGUUAUUACCGUGAGGGGAUGGACCAUUCAUGGUGUUGGAAAGAGUUAACAAUAAUGCCUACAAGCUUGAUCUUCCAGGUAAGUAUGACCUUAGUGCCACAUUUAAUGUUUAUGAUUUAACUCUUUUUGAUGCCAAUGAUGAUUUGAGGGCAAAUCCUUUGCACGGGGGAGGGAAUGAUGUGGACAUCAAGCCAUAUCGAGGAGGAGGUGCUAGGGACCCAUUGUCUAUUCAUAUUAGUUCGAUUACUCGCGCGUGGGCCAAGCAAUUUAGGCAAUCUAUUGGCGUCAUGGUUCGUGAUCUUUGGCGUAGAGAUGACCUUGGAUCAAAUCUUGAAGAAUCUUGGAAAUCUUGGCGCAAUUUGAUUAUUUAGUCAUCAAAUAUUUGACCAAGUCAAAUAUAUAUAUCUUGUUUAGGAAUAUUCUAGAAUAUGAUGCAUUAUAUCUCUAGGAUUGGUUUUAGGGUUUGUGUGGCGGCUAGAAGGCCUAUAUAUAAAAUUGACCGAAUUUCUUUAGGGGAUAGACAUAUUUUUAUUUUUGAGGAAAAAGUUGAGAGAUUCUCUUCUACUGUUCUUUUGAGGACUUGACCUUAUCAAUGUUCCCUUGUGACGGUCGAUUCGAUUUAUCGAGCGAGAUAGCGAAUUCUUUCGCUUGUGGCGUCUAUAACGUUGGUUGGUUGACACGCGUUCGUCAACAAGUCACGUUCAUACCGAGGUUGCCAAUCACAGGUUUGAUUGGAGGUUGAGGUUCGCAAUUCGCACCAUCCAGGCCUUUGUGAAACGAUCUUUUCGCAACGAUUCACAUCAUCUAGUCCCUAAUUAAUCCAUUCUAACCACCUAACAAGCACAAUUGAAUAAUUAAAUCACUAAUCCAUUCUAAUUAAUCACCUAAUCUCAUCUUAAGCUAAACUAAUCACCCAUUAAGUAUCAUUAGCGCCAUAAUGAGAGUUUAGUGCAUAAACUUACCGAUUUAGCACAAAAAUCGGUUCACGAUGACGGCGGCCCGACAGUAGCCGAAACUCGGGCUUACAGCGGCGCCAAAGGAAGCUCGGAUUGGGCUGAAAACGGUCCGACACGUCUCAACUAAAGCUAAGAUUCAAACUUGCUUAUGUGGAGGGCUGCUAGUGGCAGCGUGAACUAGUCGAGCAGCGGGACUGAGCUGGGUACAGAGGAUCGCUGGGUUGGUGGCUUGAGGAGAAGAUGAAGCUAUUGUGUGAGGUCGAUGACUAUGGAGUUGGGCCUAAUGUUGGUGUUGCAUCAACUAAAAUGAGGGGAAGUAAACUGGCGUGAAGGGUGAGCUGGCAGGCUGAAACGGUGAGGCGGUGGUUUGGUGGGGAAUCGGGCUUUGGGGUGAGCGUGCAGGGGAAAGCUGGAUGGAAGGGCGGCAGCUUGAGGGAAAAGAAGAAGACGUGUGAGAUGGAGGGAAGAAAAAAAAGACAGAAGGGGAAGUUGGCAGCUAAGGGGGAAAGAAUUGUGCAAGAGAGAGAGGGAAAGAGGGAGAGACAUGCGUGAGAGGGAGAGGGCCGAAGGAAAGGGGGUUUGCACGUAUGGAGGGAAUGAGGGAGGCCAAAUGGUCAAGGGAAAAUAUUGUUGUGAUGAUUAUAAUGCCCCUAAAGUCCAAGCUUCAUCCACAAGUCAUUUUCACACCCAAAACUUCACCAACAAGCCAAAUUGAAGGUCAAGCAAGGUCCAUGCAGCUACACGAAUUUCCUCUUCAUUUUCUCUCAAUUCUUCUCCAAAUUAAGUCAAAUUGAGGGCCAAAAAUCCCAUGGAGGCAACUCUUACGAAUUUACACCAAGUCUCCACAAUUUACUUUAAUUUGGUAGCCAGAAAAUCUAAUUAAAGAGACCCCUCCGAAUUUAUUUUCUUUUUCGAAUUGAUUGAAAUUGAUUUUCCGUAAAAAUUCUAGGCUCACCAAAAAUUUCUCGAAAGAUGAGAUGAAGUCCUAAAAAUAAAUCGUGACAUGCUCAAACUUUCGAUUCCUGAAACCGGGUUUAAUUUCUUGGUUAAUUUGGAUCGGACGCGAUUUUAGCGUGACCUAACCUACUGGGUAGCUUUUAGGAAUUUUUAGCACAAUUGACCCGUGGUCAAUUAUUUUCGAAUCAUAUUGUACAUCUUCGACACAUUGGCAACUCUUGGUUGUUAUGAAAAUCUCAAGGGUUCAAAUACGGACAUGGGGUACCAAAACAACAGAAAAAUCGGUCGAGUGCCGAUCGACAAAAUUUUUGCAAUUAAGUAAAAACACCCACACUUAAUCACAUGAUUUGAUCGAAUCGACCUAUCUCCGGUCUCUAAUCGAUUUUUAACUGUGUCGUGGUGACCCUUACAGAUUAGCAUGAUCGAGCAAUUGAAUCCUGGUUGAAUUCUCAAGUCAGCUGCAUUUAGAUUUCUUAACAGCUUCACCUGAUAUGCUAGUUAUAUUGUGAGUGGCCAACUUAGAGAAAAGAACUAUAGGCGCAUCGAUGAAAAGCCUAUUUCAUUUAGUCGAAAGCAGGGUUUGAAAAUCAGAAUGUCACACAGCUGCACUCUCACCUAGAGCGGCAUCUACUACCACCGCGGGGAUCUCAAAACCCUAGAGGGGACCCUUCCUGUAUCCAAUGAAUCCGUGGCGAAACCACGCUCUGAAUCAAUGGGGGUACCUUCUGAGGUAGGCCUUCAUCGACCUAGACAGUGGUCACCAUGAGUUCAUAGACCUUGUGACCCUCGAGGUCAGGGUAGUCAAAACUCUGCUCGGUAACCCUCAUAGGCUGACCAAAACGUUCCGAAAGAACCGCCAUCUAAGGACCUAAAAAGAUUGAGCCACAACGGGGUGAGACAAUGUCUCAGCAAGUUCACCCUCUAAACUCCGACUAGGAAGGAAAUAUAUCUAGAGGCAGUCUAUGCACACGAGACAAAGGACUUACUUUGCCUUAGUUCCUUCCUACACAUCAAUACAAUUCAUAUACUCAACCAAUUCAUUCCUUCAAUAAAUUCAAUCGAUUCCAAUUCGAUUAUUGCUCGCACAAGCAUGAACUACCAACACACAUUGGUCCUUUGGCGUAGCCAGGGAUUACUGUUCACAAGCUGAGAUAGACUAUUGCUCACACAAGCUGACAGACCAUUGCUCACACAAGUUGACACAGAUCAUUACUCACACAAGCUGACAGAUCAUUGCUCAUACAAGCUGAUACAGAUCAUUGCUCACACAAGCUAAUACAUCGACUCACAUCGGGGAUGGGUUCACUUAACCAGAACUAGAAAAAUUGAUAUUCAUACUUUUAAAAUCUCACGAUUCGAUAUAAUCCUUAAAACCAUUUUCGGUGCUAAAACCCGACACCCGGGAUUUUUCUAAUAAAAUAUCAAAACUUCACAAUUUUGGAAUAAAUAACCAAAAUCACAAUUAUCACUCAAUUUGCACAAUUUAACAUUCAAUUGCAUAAACUAAGCACACCAUUGCAAUCAGCAUGAAAUUUCGAUCAUCGGCUAUCCCGAUAUAAUUUUUGGAAAAUAAUAAAUAAUUAAAUAAAUACCAAAAAUAAUUAAAUAAAUACAAUUAAAUACCAAAAAUACCAACUUAAGCCGGAAAUGCUAAAUUAACCACCUAAACAAGCCUAGAAAAUUUCUGAACAUAUCUAGAUAAAAAGCACAAUUUAUCUAGUCCCUAAUUAGGCCAUUCUAACCACCUAAUAUGCACAAUUGAAUAAUUAAAUCACUAAUCAAUGCUAACUAAUCACUUAAACCAUAAUUAGGUUAAACUAAUCAACCCCUAAGCAUCAUUAACUCCCUAAGCAGAUUUUAGCAAGUAAACUCACCGAUUUAGCAUUCCGAUGAGUUCACGACAACGGCGACGCAGAGGUGGGCAACAACCGAGCCUGCGGCGACACCAACGGAGGAUCGAGUGGGCUUAAAAAUGGGCCAUGAAGACCUAGGGCCCUUGCUAGCUUCGGCUACUGACCUUGGGUAGAAGGAGCUGGCGUAGGGCUACUGGCUGGCUGAAAUGGCACGGAGGUGGUGUAGCGGGGCCAGGUGGUGCUCAACGGUGGCUCCGGCGGCUUGGAUGGUGACGGAUGGUGGCCUAGUGACCUGUGACUGCCUGGACAGAGGUUUGGGGAGCGACGAGGAGUUGCGAAAUGAGCGGAAUGGCAAGGACACUCGGUUGGGCUAGCGGUUGGCGCGACGGGCGAGCGAGCGGUGUGCGGCGGCUCUGGUGGCUCCAAGCGUUGGUCGAUGGGCUAGGGGGGGCUUGCUCUAUUUUCCUCUGAUGUGUACAACCUCCAAAUACGAGGACAUACUAUGAACAUUCGAUGUGUGUGCAUCUAUGUGGUGCUUAGAGAAGUUACUCCUAUUUUGGAGUUUUAUAUGGUUUUAUGUCCAAGCUAUGGUAAGCUAAAAGUUAGACACGGGUUUCUCUAAUUUUGUAUGUUAUAUGUGGUUUGUCCUCGGUGUGGGUAAUGAAUUGGAGCCACGACGCCGAGCCUUGCCCCAAGGAUGUGAGGUCAACCCUUGGUGAGGGCAUUAAGGCCUUCGCCAAGGCCUGGCAAUCGAUAGAAGAAGAAGAGGAAACAAGUACGUAAGAAAUGAAAAGAAACCGAAAAGAAAAAGAAGGGUAAAAAACAGACCGAAAAUAAUACUUUUUUUUUUUUCAUUUCAAUUUUUUAUUUCAUGUGAGCAUUGGUCAUGUUACGUUAGAAGGCCGCCAAUGCUUUAACACUUUAACACCUUUCGAUACGUGGUCAACAGAUAUCAAAAAAUUUGACACGUGGUUAACUCUUCUAACACGGUCUGACAUGCUAGUCCAGAAUUCUGACACAUGAUUUCGACACGCUUGGGUCAAUUUUAAAAUUUUGCAAUAGAUGACAAGUCAAAAUGUAAAUAUGUACAAAAAUAAAUAGUAAUAAAAAUAAUAAAAGGGAGAAAGGAGAAAACCUAAUCUCCUCUUCUCUUUUGACUUUUACUUCCUAUAAUUCACAAUUUUUAGUGUAAAUUCAUUCUAGUCUUUUUUUAAGUCUUUUUUUUAUCAUAAUUUAUUUAUUUGUGAAUUUGAAUUGAAUUAAUUUGAUUGAAAUAAUCAUGGAAAUGAUAAUUUAUCAUGUAUAUAUAUAAAUAUAUAUUUAAUAUACGAUGUGCCCUAAUGUGUUCAACUUUUUUUUUCUUUUUUUAGAUAUGAUGUGUCGGCGUGUCGUGUCAUUUUGCGUGUCGCGUAUCGGUGUCGAUGCUACUUAGGAUUAUAUUGAAAGGUAAAACGUUAAAAAAUUUAGAAGUAAAUUGAUCAUAUCAAAAUAUUUAAAAUUGACUUGGUAUACAUGUCAAAGGUUUAACAACUUUUUACUAAUCAUUCUAUAUUUCGACACUCGUGUUGUGGCUUUUUUCUCCCAUAGAGGUUAUGAAUUACAAAUAUAGUAAUCUAAUUUUGGCCAAUUUAAGAACGGUAAUCUUUUGUCAACCCUCCUAGGAAAAAGAAUUUAUUGAACCUCGAAACAAUAGCAUAGCGGCUAUGAAGCUGUAUAAUAUCAUGCUACCAUAUAAAUGUAGAGUAGCUCAUCAUACCAUUUUCUUAUCUUUUUCAUAUGAUAAAAGUCAAUGUAAAAAGGUAGUUUCAACUAUUUCCUCAUCAAUGACGAUAACUUAAAUUUAUAGCACUAUCAAAAUUAAAUUUUCUUGUUUUUUGCUAAGUUAAAAUCUAUCUUACUUCACAAUAAUUUAGUUCAUCACUGAAAUCAAACAAAAUCUUUAUCUUCUCUCUAUUAUUCUACUUUCCAUGUACCAUUUUUCCAAUGAAGGAUUUAUCUCAACAAGGAAAAUUAUUUUAAUGAAAAGACGAUUAUGCCCUUCCGGAAUCAUCCAAUGACUCUCUAUCCUAUCACGAAGACAAGAACCGCCACCUUUUAGCUCUCUCUCUCUCUCUCUCUCUAUAUAUAUAUCAACACGUAUACCGUAUAGUUAUAACAGAGUCACUUUAGAGACCGAUCAAGAUCGCCAGGAAGAACGACGCCUCCGCUGUGAAAACACCCACCGAGAUGGCCGAGAAGAGCAGAGUCCUGGUGAUUGGAAGCACCGGAAGCAUCGGAAAGUUCAUUGUGGAAGCAAGUGUUAAGUUUGGUCACCCUACCUUCGCUCUCGUGAGGGAGUCCAGUCUCUCCGACCCAGCCAAGGCCAACAUCGCUGAAGGUUUCAAGAGCUUAGGCGUCAAAUUAGUUCACGUGAGUAGUUCUUCUGAUGCAAUCCUGUUCGUUUCUCGCAUUUGCUGCUCCUUUGAGGAAUCGAAGCGUCCCUUACCGUUAAUCUCAUCCGUCGUUUCGAAAAAUGUCUUUAACCGUAGAAUCAGAGUCGCAUUUGAUCUCAAUCUUUCACAAGAUUGAGUUGAUAUUUGCUGCUUCUCUUUCCCUCCUCUAGCAAUUUGUCCCUGUGUUAUUGGUCAUUUUUCACAUUGACUGACGAAUCGCCUCAGCUUCGCAUUCCGAUACGAAGUACAAAUAGAAUACAUUUUUAAACAAAUCUUAUGAAAACUUCUAUAUUUUACGUACUGCCUAAAUGAACUUGUAUAUAAAAGUGAAUGUGACUGACCUGUAAUUCAGAUGUCACCGCAAAUCCCCUGCUAUAACCUUUCAAAAGAUUGGUAGGCAAUGUGUGGUAAUUCUGUGGAUGCUUUAUUUCUUAUAAAACUUUUUCUCUUCUGGUGAAGCUAUUGAAGUCUUAUCUACAUCAGACUUCAUAUCUAUCCUUUUUCGUAGUCUUCCUACUGGCAAAGAUAGGAUUGAUUGAUGAUUGGCGACUUUAUUGAUUGUUUGUCCAUGCUCUUGAUUACUUGAUUCUCAGGGAGAUGUAUACGAUCAAGAGAGUCUGUUGACUGCGAUUAAGCAGGUUGAUGUGGUAAUCUCUGUUGUGGCGCAACAACAGGUAGCGAUCCAAGAUAAGAUUGUUGCAGCCAUCAAAGCAGCUGGGAAUAUCAAGGUGUGCAGUUUAUAAUAAUUUCAUCCAAGUUACCAUUGCUCGUUUAACAGUUGACUGAUGAUAUAGGAUGGUGCAAGCUUAACUCUUUUCUUUUGAGAUUAGUGCAUCACGUUCUCCUUGUGAGCUCCACUCUGAUGAAAUGGGAUGGAUUCAUUUACUUAUCCGUAGACUUCACUUCUUUCCUUUUUAAACGGUCAUGACUUUCUAUAGAAGUCGUUAAUGAAAUUUGAGGCUUACUAUUUCAAAUCCAAGUACCGGACAAUGCCGGAUUCACUGUGGUUGGGUUUCCUCUAGGUCAAUGAAAAAAAAGUAAAAGGUUUCAAGCGCUCGAUAUGGAUUAUGGUCAUGUACCCUAUCCUUUGAUCAAUAAUGGGAAACAUGAACUACCUAUUUCUUCAAAAGGUUAUUUUAGGUAAAAUUAAUAUUAUAGCAAAUAAGUUUUCAAAACCCAACUGGUGGAUAAUUUAGUAGUUGUUGCCUAGGGGGUUGACGGUCGGUAAAGAGUGGAGCUUAGCAUGCUCACAAAAGGCAAUGUACUCACCUGAUAUUUUAUUUCUUGUGAAAAGUGUACAAGUAAGGAGCAUCGUUGCGCAUUUUAUACUUGCCAGAUUUAUUUGGCUAUGGCCUAUGGCCCUAACAAUUAAAUCUUCAGUUUUCUUUUCUUCUACUUUUCUAAUAGCACUUAAUUUCUAGUCUUGAUUCACUUAUAAUCAUUUUUACUAUAUUAUAGUCCGUUUGGAAAAAAAAAAGAAAGUGAAAUUCAGUCUCAUGUAAGUUGUUUUCUUUGUUUUUUCUGUCAUAGUCACAUGUUGAAGAAAAAAGUCAAACAUUGUCACAUAUGAGUUUGGUUUCCUUUUUUUUUUUGCCAAAACUCAUGUAAGUUUGUUGGAUGAGGUGAAUUUGCUCUAGUUUUUUUGUUGCUUUCUAAUAAAAAUGUAUGUCCUGAUUCAAUUAAUUUUCUUUUUAGAGAUUCUUGCCUUCAGAGUUUGGAAACGAUGGGGAACGUCACCAUGCUGUGGAGCCAGCAAAAACUGUAUAUGAUACCAAGACCAAGAUCCGCCGCCUUGUUGAGGCUGAGGGAAUCCCUUAUACACAUGUGGUUUCUAACGCUUGUUCAGGUUACCACCUUUCGAAUUUGUCACAGCCUGGGGCUACAGCUCCCCCAAGAGAUAAAGUUGUCAUCUUAGGGGAUGGAAAUGCAAAAGGUAAGAAGCAGUGUGUCGAAAUGCGCAUUUUAAUUAGUUCAGAUAUUUCUGGAGGUUGAUCACGAUUUAAUUACGGUAGUGAUCAGUGUGAGGGGCAGCUCUUGAAGCUUGAGAAUUCCAGGGCAACGUCCUUGUCUGGAGAUGUUGGGACUCUUACAUCCAUUAGUCUUCACCUUCAGAGACUAAUAGAUUAUAUGAGUGUGUCGUGGUUUAUCUUGGCAUAAUAUCACCUAGUGGGCAGAUCGUGAAUGUUCUCUUUAUGUAUUUGGUGGAGGAAAGAACAUACGGAUGCAUCUGUCUGUUGGUUGUCUGAUGAAUCUGUUUACCGAGAGAAUUCUUCUUCAAUUCAAGCCGAAAGUAACACUAGGAAGAUCAGUGACUCUGUGAUUUAUUUAUGAGCUCAUGUCUUUCUGGGAGAGAGAGAUCGGCAAGGCUCUAGAGAGGGCGUAUGUUCCAGAGGAGGAGGUUCUAAAGAAUAUUCAAGGUUAGGGCUGCAUUUCUAUUGGAUUUAAGUGUGUAAAUUGUCUCUGUUCUCUCUAAAGAUUUAAAGCUUGUCCAGUCAUUACAGAGGCGGCGUUUCCGCAGAAUGUGAUAUUGGCAGUACUCCAUUCUGUUUUCGUGAAAGGAGACCAAGCCAACUUCGAGAUUAAGCCAUCAUUCGGAGUGGAAGCUUUGGAGCUCUACCCCAAUGUCAAGUACACGACUGUGGAUUAGUAUAUGGAUCAGUUUAUUUGAUUAUCGAACCCGAUUGUGCUUGUUAAAUUUCUCAUAUCGGCUUAAAUCAUAAAUAAUAUAGGAUGCUGCUUCUUAGGAUCCUAGUGUGAAAUGUCGCAUGCCCUGAUCAUCACAUGGCAUGUACAACCCCAAAGUUCGAGGACAUCCUAUGAAGUGCUUGGAGAAAUUUAUUUAUGUUUUGGAGAUUAAUAUUAGGUUCAUGGCCAAGCCGAGCUAGCACAAAGACAUGGAUUUUUCUAUUUUUCUAUAUUGUAUUUUCUUGCACGUCUAAAUGAUUCAAGACGACCACUAUCGAGAAGUCAGAUACUAGAUGUAUUACCAAAAAUGAAAUCUCCGUCAUGACCUAAUUAUGGAUAAUCUUAAAGAAUGACGAGUUAAAACAAACGUAAAUCGAUUAACGAACUUCUCACAAUAUCGAGUUAUCGUUAAUGUUUUGGGAGCUUUUAUUGUAUGAAUUUUCUUAACGUGAAAUACAUUAAUUGAUAUUGUAAGAAAUUUCUGUUGAUCGGACCCUCCUUGCCUAUAAAUAGGCGGGUUGCGAUCUCUGUUGAGGACGAGCGAGCAAGCUUGGAGAACUUCCCUGGAGAGACUUCAGGGGAGGCUCAAAGAGUAAGCAAGCAAGAGAGGCGUCGCGAGCUCAAACGACCUCCCCCAAGAGAGGUCAGGGGAGGUCGGCGGCGAGCGAACCCGAGAGAGAGGGGCUUCACGGUGAGAGAGAUCGUGAGCAAAACCCAGAUCUGUGGGUUGUGGGUGGAAGGGGGUAGACUGCCGUCGACGGUUGCGCCUGCAUCGUGACCAGCAACCCCACCGCUACGCCUCCUUGGCCGGUGAACUACGGUCUUCUUUUUUUGCGUUCUGGGCAAGCCAGGCCGGAGCUUGCGACCGCUUGGUUGCGAGCUUCGGCCGCGUUUAUUCCCUUUUUUUGGGCUGCUGUUGUGUUUGUUCGGCCAAAGCUACGGUUUAGCUCCAACCUCGUUCGGGCCGUGAGUCUCUCAACUCUAUAGCACACACCAUCCGUUCGACGAAAUGCCAAAGCUAGAUCCGGAACCUUGCGCUGAGGAAGUCCGUUCCAGAGCUUCAAUCACCGUCCGGAUGAGAGAGGAAAGACGUUGGGGAGACCUCCAGUCGAACGCUUUCCGCCGGCCAUGUCUAGCCAAGGCGGAUCUUUGCUGGCGACAAUAGCCAGCCAAGCUGGUUCUCAGCCGGCGACGGUGGUCAGCUGGGCUCGCCCUCGGUUGGCGCCAUGGCCGAUCGAAAGCUCGUCUCCGAUCUGGGCUGGCUGAGGUGUCACCGGACUGAGGGGUGUGGCCAGCCCACCGUGAGCGGCGUCCCCCAUUGGCGCCGUCUUCUUCCCUGCGGACAAGCUGCAGUGAAGGGGGGAUGAAUCGGGUGAGCCUGCGGAUCGGGCUAACGCAGUUCAUUUGAUUCUUCGGGUAGGGUUUCGUCAGCAUGGGCCUAUCGCGGCAGGCCGUCUGAUUUUCAAGCUUCAGUUGGGCCAUCUUUUUACAAAUCAAAAUCUGCUGGGUUGGGCUAAAAAUUAAAAUGUUGGGUUUGAAUUUCUUUGCGGGCCUGGCCCGCGCCUCAGGCUCGUUCCGAGCAGCCCCUGGUUUCUACGAUUGUGUCGUUUUUAUAUUAUUAUAAUUAUAAUAAUAUUUUAAUAAAAUCAAAAUAAAUAAAUUAUUUAUUCAAAGAGUCAGAAAAACCCAAAAAUAUUUUAUGUUUUCCCAAAAAAAUCAUGAACAAGCGAAAAAUAAUUUAUAUUUUCAAAAAAGGGUAAAAAAUAAAAAUAAAAAUGCUUUUAUGUUAAAGUGUGUUUUUCCUCCACAAAUGCAUAGAAAAUCCCUUGAAAUUCCAAAAAGCUUUAGGGUUCAGAUAAGAUUAGGUACCGGAAGGACAGUAGUGAUUAACUAGUGUAAUUAAGUUCCCGAUCUUAGUUUUCCUGGUUGCACAGAAGCGAAUAUUUCUCCCAAUAUUUCGCUUGGGUUUCUAACUCAACCCACCUCAAAUUGAUUAGUGGCGACUCAUUUUAAAAUUAACUUAUAGUUUUAAAAAAUAUUAAACCAUUAAGUCCUGAAUUGGUGAGCUUGGGAGAGCCCAAGCUAAGCCUAAUAGAUAUAGCCGAGCCAUAAGCCUAUGUAGGCACUCGCCCUAAUCGGGCACUGAAAAUAGAGAUUGUGACAAGGAACAUGCCCUAGUUUUUGUUGCUUUCUAAUAAAAAUGUUUCUUCUAAUUCAAAUAAUUUUCUUCUUAGAGAUUCUUGCCUUCAGAGUUUGGAAAUGACGUGGAUCGUGUCCAUGCUAUGGAGCCAGCAAAAAAUGCAUUUGCUAUCAAGGCCAAGAUUUGCCAUCUUAUUGAGGCUGCGAGAAUCCCUUAUACGUAUGUAUCUUCUAACUUGUUUGCAGGUUACUUCCUCCUAACAUUGUCACAACCUGGGGCUACAGCUCCCCCUAGAGAUAAAGUUGUUAUCUUAGGGGAUGGAAAUGUAAAAG
rnacentral:lncRNA from 1 species